rnacentral:lncRNA from 1 species
CCGACUAACACUCGAACAUAUUUUUGAGGUUUUUGUCAAUUUGGAAACUCCGAUUCUUUUCCAAUUUUUUUGUGCUUGUUUUAAACUUGAUUUUUAAGAAAUAGGCAAAUUUUGAAUUGAGAUCAACAGUUUAUUCAUUAGGUAUUGAGGUUUAAAUCUGUCAUAGGAAUUACUAGGAUUUGGAUUAGGGUUUGGUUAGGGUUCGAUUUAGGAUUUGAUUUAGAGUUUAGGGUUUGGAUUAGGGUUUGGAUUAGGAUUUAGGAUUUGGUUAGGAUUUGAUUUAGGAUUUGGAUUAGGGUUUGAAUUAGGAUUUAGGGUUUGGUUAGAAUUUGAUUUAGGGUUUGGAUUAGGAUUUGAUUUAAGGUUUGGUUUAGAGUUUAGGGUUUGGAUUAGGAUUUAGGAUUGGAUUAGAGUUUAGAUAAGGAUUUAGAAUUCGAUUUAGGGUUUAAGAUUUGAAAUAAGGUUUGAUUUAGGAUUUAAUUUAAGGUUUGUUUAAGAUUUGACUUAGGGUUUAGGAUUUAUUAGGGUUUAAGAUUUAAUUGGAUUUGGUCUAUAGUUUGAGUGAAAUUCAAUAGGGUUUUAAUUAGAAUUAAAUUAAGGUUGAAUUGACAUAUAUUUGAGAAAUAUAUUUGUGUUCAUUCUAAUAUUUUUUUAAGAAUUUUAUUGUUUGUUUGAAAUUUCUUUGAGUUGUUUUGAAUUUGAUUACGUUUGUUUACCAUUAUUAUAGUCUAAUUAGAACAUUGUUAGUAUUCUAUUAGAAUUAGGAUUUUGUUAUUACAAUUUCUAUUCUUCCUUCUACAACCAGGUGCCCAGAGUAUUCUCAAGCAAGACUUCACACAUUACGACAGCGGCUGGAACCUUGCACAACUUCUAAUAAAGGUCCUAUUCUCUCCUCAGAGCCCUCUCCUUAUUUUACAUUAAAUUUUAUUUUAAGACCUAAAUAUUACAAAGCCUCUGCCUUGUUAGAUUCAGGAGCCUCGGCGUGUUUCUUAGAUGAAGAAUUUACUAAAAGACAUAGCAUAUCUUUAGUAAAGAAAACUAAACCUGUUCAUGUAGAAGUCAUAGAUGGUCGUCCAUUAUCUUCUGGAGAUAUUACUUACGAAACCCUUCCUAUAGAAGUAAUAAUCAAUAGUCAUAAUAGCUUUGUAGUAUUUAAUAUCAUUAGAUCUCCCUCUAAUCCAAUCAUUUUAGGUUUAUUGUGGUUAGAAAAAUACAACCCUCAAAUAGAUUGGAUUUUCCGAAGUCUUACUUUUUCUAAAAGUAUAACUAACAGUGUAGUUAAUCAAGUAGAGAGUCAUAAGUCCAGCUCAAUUAAACCUAUAUUUAUAGGUACAAAAGCUUUCUUACAUGCUGCUAUAAAAGAAUCACCAUGUAUUAUUUAUGCCACACCUGUUUCUACUGGUGGAAAGACUUCAAGUGGCAUUCCAAGCUAAUAUCAAGAAUUUCAAGAUAAAUUCAAAAAAAAGAAUGUGGAUAUACUCCCGAAACAUCGUUCCUAUGAUUGCUCAAUUGACCUUCAAGAAGGAGCACAAUCGCCAUUUGGACCAAUCUACAGUUUAUCACAAAAUGAGUUGAUUGAACUCAAGGAGUAUAUUGAAGAUAAUCUAGCCAAGAAUUUUAUACGCCAUUCUAAAUCUCCGGCAGGAGCUCUAAUUGUAUUUGUGAAGAAAAAAGAUGGAUCAUUACAGAUGUGUGUUGAUUAUCGAGGACUCAACAAGAUUACUAUCAAGAACAGGUAUCCACUACCUUCAUAUCUGGACUUCUUGAUCAGUUGAAUCUAGCUAAGAUCUAUACAAAAAUAGAUCUCCGGAGAGCAUACAAUCUAGUACGCAUCAAAGAAAGAGAUGAAUGGAAGACUGCAUUUCAAAUUAGGUAUGGAUAUUUUGAAUACAACAGCAUGCCUUUUGGGCUUACAAAUGUACCAACAGCUUUUCAACAUCUAAUGAAUGAUGUUUUUUGAGAAUUUUUGGACAAUUUUGUGGUCUGUUAUCUAGAUGACAUCUUGAUCUAUUCUAAGAAUCCAAAAGAACAUGAACUUCAUGUUCGUCGUGUGUUACAAAAAUUAAGAGAUGCAAGACUCUAUGCCAAGAUAGAAAAGUGUAUAUUCCACACUACUCAAGUCGAUUUCUUAGGUUACAUCAUUUCAAAUGAUGGACUUAUGAUAGAUCCUAAGAAAGUUCAAACUAUUAUAGAUUGGAAGAUCCCUAAAAUGGUAAGAGAUGUCCAAUAUUUUUUGGGAUUUGCCAACUACUAUCGGAUCUUCAUCAAAGACUUCUCUUGAGUUGCAGCUCCACUUACACGUUUGACUUGUAAAGAAAAACUCCAAUGGAAUCAAGAAGCGGAAGUUGCUUUUGAAUCUUUGAAGACAGCGUUUGUUUCUAUAUUAAUCUUGUAUCAUGUUGAUUUUUCCAAAGCAUUCUUUAUAGAAACAGAUGCAUCAGACUUUACUCUAGGUGCGAUUUUAUCACAAAUGGGAACAGAUGACAAACUUCAUCCAAUAUCCUUUCAUUCAAGAAAAUUCUCAGUAGCAGAAAUCAAUUAUGAGAUCUACGACAAAGAACUUCUUGCAAUUGUGGAUUCUUUUUAAGAAUGGCAUCAUUAUCUAGAAGGCGCUUCCAGUCCAGUCACCAUGUAUAUGGAUCACAAGAACCUCAAGUAUUUUAUGUCAGCACACAUAUUAAAUUAUCGUUAAGCUCGUUGAAGCAUGUCUUUAUCAAGAUUCGAAUUCAUCAUCACUUAUAGGUCAGAAAAACAAUAAGGUUUGUCCGAUGCCUUGUCUAAACGUUCUUAUCUUAUACCAAAAGAAGGAGAUGCAGCUUUUGAGCAACAAAGAACGGUUUUCUUGAAGCCGGAGCAAUUUCAUCUUCGAGCAAUAAAAUCAAUAUUGACUGUUAACUUUUCUUAAGCAAGUCCAGUUAAGUUUGUCUUCAGACCUUCUUGUUCAUGAUAUCAAGAAUAAUUCUUCUAAAUCUCAUGAUCCCUCUAAAUUUGAAUUCAAGAACAACCUACUCUAUUUUGAAGGACGCCUAUAUGUUCCAGAAGGAAAGCACGUUUAUGUAUUCUUCAAGCUCGUCACAACUUUUCAGCAACAGGACAUUUUGGAUAUAAUAAGACUUUGGAGUUGAUAUCUAAGGAUUUUUGGUGGCCUCAAAUAUGGAAGGCAGUCAAAGAUUUUGUACAAUCAUGUGAUGUUUGUUCAAGUUCAAAAACUCCUCGUCAUCGAACUUUUAGAUUUUUUUAGCCAUUAUCCAUUCUAAAACAACUGUGGUCAUUGUUUCUAUGGACUUCAUCACGGAACUUCCAAUCUCAGGUUCUUAUGACUCUAUAUUUGUGAUAGCAGAUCGUUUUACCAAGAUGGCACAUUUUAUACCAUGUACAAAAUCUAUCACAGGUGAAGAAACAGCUAAGCUCUUUCUUGACAAUAUCUAUUGCUAUCAUAGAUUAUCCAAGGAUAUUAUUUCAAAUAGGGGAACUCAAUUUGUAUCAAGAUUUUAGCAGACUCUUUUUAAGAUUCUUAAAAUGGAUAUAAAACUAUCUUCGACAUUCCAUCCUCAAACUGAUGGACAAACGGAGCGUGUUAAUUAAAUUUUGGAACAAUAUUUAAGAUGUACCAUUAAUUACUAGUAAGAUAAUUGGACAACUCUUUUGCCAUUGGCAGAGUUUGCUUACAAUAACAUGGUACAUUCUUCUACAAAAUAAAUACCUUUUUUUGCUAAUUAUGGUUAUCAUCCACGAUUUGAUACUUUUGACUUUUGAAAAGUUGAUAAUCCUAUUGUGAAAGAUUUGACAAUUCAUUUAUCAGAGCUACAUGCAACGAUGAAGGCGCAGUUAAAAGAGGCUCAAGAACAACAAAAGGUCAAUGCAGAUGUCUAUCAAAAGGAACAACCACCAUUCGUCUUGGGUGAUAAGGUAUAGCUACUUUGUCACAAUAUUAAGACCACUCAUCCUUGUGACAAGUUGGACUAUCGAAGACUUGGACCAUUUUAUAUUUUUAUACAAAUCAAUCCAGUUGCAUAUCGUUUACAUCUAUCGGAGUCAAUGAAAAUCCAUCGAGUAUUCCACGUGUCUCUUCUUGAACCAUACAAGAUAGUGGACAUACCAAGAAGAUGACAAGCUCCACCUCCUUCUAUAGAAGUAGACAAUAAUGAAGAGUUUGAAGUAGAAGAAGUCAUAGAUUCAAGGCGGUGCCGAAAUAAAUUAGAAUAUCUUGUCCAUUGGCACGGAUAUGAUAUUAGUGAACGCACAUGGGAACCAAUAAAGAAUCUUGUAAAUGCAGCAAAGGCAGUGGAGGCUUUUCAUCAACGACAUCCAUCAAAAUCAAGAUGAAAACUUUCUUUAUAAAAGAAACAACAUCUAGACAAGAUAACAUUCUACUUUCAAUCCUUGUUCGUAGCUUCUUUGUAGUUGUGAUGCUCAGGAGAUGGAGAACCAACAACCUGCAGAUUCGACUCAAGAGCCUUCAUUUGUUCACCUAUCAGACGAGACAUUACAAUUGUCACAACCUUCAAGACAAUGCAAUUGAGAUGAAGAUCUUCAAAAACGACAUAUUCUUCCUCGAAUAGAUGGUAAGAUACAACGCGUUUGGUAUCAUGAUCUGGGAAGGGACUCUCGAUGUUUGGUGAUUUUGCUAGAAGUAGGAACAACUCUUGAUGGUGUUCCAAAUGUUCUAUUCGAAGGAAGUUAUGAAGGCCUCAACAAUGAUCAAAUAACUGGGUGGUCUUCCCGCCCUGGUAUGGGACACUAUCGAUAGUUGAGAGGCCCUAUCAAUCAUCUUCGAAGAGAACAAAGAUCAGAGUAUGUGGCGAAUAUAAUUUGUUGCAUCAUAGAUUUUCUCAACAUAUGAUGACCGCUCCUCAUGGAACUCAUCCCUAGAAGGGAGGGUAAUGUCAUGGACAUAUUCAUGUAAGCUAAUAAUUACAUAUACAAAUAGGUAGAAGUAAGUAAAAGUAGAUAAAAGUAAGUUAAUUCUAUAGUAUUUAAUAUAGAAGCUUCCUAGAAGCUUUAUAGAUGCUACUUUGACUUCAUAGGUAUCUUUAAUUGACUUUUUGGAUUAGAAACGUGGUCAACAAGUUGGCCAUAUACCACACAUGUUGUUAGCUUGAAGAUCAAGCUAAUUAUAUGGUCCACACAUAGAAAAACUUGCCUUGUAAGUCAAGGCAUGUGUCCUACAAAGUCAAAACAUAUUGGAGGUCCUAUAGAACGUCGCCACGUAGUCCCUACUUAGAUAGUAUAUAUAGUGAUAAGAGUGAAGGCUUCUUCACUCUUGUCAACUCCUUUCUUGCUUCUAGUCUAGUUUCAAGGGUCUCUAGUUUUCUUGUCUUUUGGCAAUAGCCAUUCCAUUUUCUCUUUCAAUAUACAUACUUGUUUAGUUAUAUUUUAUUACCUUUCUUUGAGUGAAGGCUCACUUGUUUGAAUUUCUUUUUUAUUGAGUUCUUGUCCUUGACACCAGUAUACCAAAGACAACAUCGACUUAAUUCAAAAUACUCACUUAUGGUAAAAGAAGAACUAGAUAAACUCUUAGAGAUUAGAUUUAUUUAUCCAGUUCUUUUGAGUGAAUGGAUUUCAUCAAUUGUUAUGGUACCAAAAAAUAGUGAAAAAGUUCAAAUCUAUUAAGAUUUCUGAAAAUUAAAUGUGGCUAUCAAGAAGGAUUAUUUUCCUUUACCAUUCACAGAUAAUAUAUUGGAUGCUAUUGCUGGACAUGAAUGUUAUUCAUUUCUUGAUGGAUUCUCUGGUUAUAAUUAAGUUAAGAUUGUAAAAGAAGACCAAUUAAAACUACUUUUACUACGGAUUGGGGGACCUUUGUCUAUAAGGUUAUGCCGUUUGGGCUUUAUAAUACACAAGCUAUAUUUCAAAAGAUAAUGAUGCAAGCAUUUCAAGAUUAUCUAUGAAUUUCAAUUGAAAUAUUAUUAGAUGAUUUUUGUACAAUUAGUACAAGAGCUAGGUAUUUAGAAUAUCUUCGUCAAUAUUUGAAUCAAUGUGCCAAUGUCAACAACAAAGACUCGAUGAAGGAAAAUAAACACAAAAAGGCUAUCUCGAUAUAAUAAGUCAAAAUAUAAACAAGUAGGUAUAUUAAAAAGAAACUGGAAUGGCUAUUGCCACAAGACAAGAAACUAAAGACUCUUGAACCUGGACUAGAAGCAAGAAAGGAGUUGACAAGAGUGAAGAAGCCUUCACUCUUGUCUCUAUAUAUACUAUCUAACUAGGGGCUACGUGGCGAUGUCCUAUAGGACCUCCAAUAUGUGUUGACUUUGUAGGACACAUGCCUUGACUUACAAGGCAAGUUUUUCUACGUGUGGGCCACAUAGUUAGCUUGAUCUUCAAGCUAACAAUAUGUGUAGCACAUGGCCAACUUGUUGACCACGUUUCUAAUCCAAAAAGUCAAUUAAAGACACCUAUGAAGUCAAAGCAGCAUGUAAGAAGUUUCUAGGAAACUUCCAUAUUAAAUAUUAUAGAAUUUACUUAUUUUUAUCUACUUUUACUUACUUCUACCUAUUUCUAUAUGUAAUUAUUAGCUUACAUGAUUAUGGCCGUGCCAUUACCCCCCUUUCUAGAGACAAGUUCCACGAGGAGCAAUCAUCAUAUGUUGAGGAAAUCUAUGAUGCGACGAAUUGUAUUCGCCACAUACUCUGAUCUCUGUUCUCUUCAAAGAUGAUUGAUAGGGCCUCUCAACCAUCGGUAGUGUCCCAUACCAGGGCGGGAAGACCACCCAGUUAUUUGAUCAUUGUUGAGGCCUUCGUAACUUCCUUCGAAUAGAAUAUUUGGAACACCAUCAGGAGUUGUUCCUACCUCUAGCAAAAUCACCAAACAUCGGGAGUCCCUUCCCAAAUCGUGAUACCAAACGCGUUGUAUCUCACCAUCUAUUCGAGGAAGAAUAUGUCAUUCUUGAAGAUCUUCAUCUCGAUUGCGUCGUCUUGAAGGUUGUGACAAUCGUAAUGUCUCGUCCGGCAGGUUAGCAAACAAAGGUUCUUGAGUUGAAUCCGCUGGUUGUUGGCUCUCCAUCUAAUUAGCGUCACAAAUGCAAAGAAGUUACAAACAAGGAUAGAAAAUUGAAUGUUAUCUUGCCUCAAUCUUGUUUCUCUUAUAAGAGAGAUUUUUAUCUUGAUUUCGAUCGAUGUCAUUGAUGAAAAACUUUGACUUUAGCUGAUGCAUUUGCUAGAUUCCUAGAUGGCUCCCAUGUGCGUUCACUAAUAUCAUAUCCGCGUCAAUGAACAAGAUAUUCCAGCUUAUUUCGGUGCCACCUUGAGUCUAAUAUCUCUUUCACCUUAAAUUCUUCAUUAUUAUCUACUUCUAUAGGAGGCGGUGGCAUUUGUCUUCUUCCUUGUAUAUCCACUGUCUUAUAUGGUUCAAGAAGACACACGUGGAAUACAGGAUGGAUCUUCAUUGACUCCUGUAGAUAUAACCGAUAUGCAACUGGGUUGAUCUGUUCAGAAACAGAAAAGGGGCCAAGCCUACGAUAGUCCAACUUGUCACAAGGUCGAAUAGUCUUGCUAUUGCGAUGAAGUAGCCAUACCUUAUCAUCCACAUUGAGUUGUGAUCUAUAUAGAUCCGUAUUUAUCUUUUGUCGUUCUUGAGCUUCCUUCAAUUACGUCUUCAUUAUUGCAUGUAACUCUGACAACCGAUUUGCCAUAUCUUCUGCUACAGGAUUAUCAACUUUUGAAAAAUCAAAAGUAUCAAGUCAUGGAUGAUAGCCAUAAUUGGCAAAGAAAGGUGUUUGUUGCGUGGAAGAAUGUACCGUAUUAUUAUAAGCAAACUCUGCCAAUGGCAGAAGGGUUGUCCAAUCAUCUUGUUGGUAGUUGAUAGUACACCUUAAAUAUUGCUCUAAGACUUGGUUUACGCGCUCUAUUUGUCCAUCAGUUUGAGGAUGAAAAGCCGAAGAUAGUUUUAUGUCCACUUUUAAAAUCUUGAAAAGGGUCCUCCAAAAUCUUGACACAAAUUGACUUCCCCUAUCCGAUAUGAUAUCUUUAGGUAAUCCAUGAUAGCGAUAGAUAUUAUCAAUAAAAAGCUUAGCUGUUUCUUCACCUGUGAUAGAUUUUGUACAUGGCAUAAAAUGUGCCAUCUUCGUGAAACGAUCUACUAUCACAAAUAUAGAAUCAUAAGAUCUUGAGCUUGGAAGAUCUGUGAUGAAAUCCAUAGAAACAGAAGACCAUGGUUGUUCUGGUAUAGGUAAUGGCUGAAGAAGUCCGUAAGGUCGAUGACGAGGAAUUUUUGAUCUUGAACAAAUAUCACAUGAUUGUACAAAGUCUUUGACUGAUUUCCACAUUUGUGGCCACCAAAAAUCUCUUGAUAUGAGUUCCAAAGUCUUAUUAUAUCCAAAGUGCCCUGCUGCUGGAAAGUCGUGACGUGCUUGAAGAACACGUAAACGUGCUUCUCCUUCUGGAACAUAUAGGCGUCCUUCAAAAUAUAAUAGAUUAUUCUUGAACUCGAACUUAGAAGGAUCAUGAGACUUGGAAGAAUUAUUCUCGAUAUCAUGAACAAGAGGGUCUGAGGACAUACUGGACUGGAUUUGCUUGAGAAAAGUUGAAUCAACAGUCAAUGUUGAUUUCAUUGCUCGGAGAUGAAAUUGCUCUGGUUUCAAGAGGACCGUUCUUUGUUGCUCAAAAGCUGCAUCUCCUUCUUUUGGUGCAAAAUAAGAACGUCUAGAUAGGGCAUCGGACAAACCUUGUUGUUUUCCUGGCCGAUAAGUGAUAAUGAAUUCGAAUCUUGACAAAGACAUAUUUCAACGAGCUUGACGAUGAUUCAACACGCGUGUUGACAUGAAAUACUCGAGGUUCUUGUGAUCUGUAUACACAAUGACUAGACUAGAAGCGUCUUCUUGAUAAUGAUGCCAUUCUUGAAAGGAAUCCACGAUCGCAAGAAGUUCUUUAUCGUGGAUCUCAUAAUUGAUCUCGGCUGCUGAGAAUUUUCUUGAAUAAAAAGUUAUCGGAUGAAAUUUGUCAUCUGUUCCCAUUUGUGAUAAAACUGCACCCAAGGUAAAAUCUGAUGCAUCUGUUUCCAUAAAAAAUGCCUUGGAAAAGUCAACACGAUAUAAGACUGGUGCAGAGACAAACGAUGUCUUCAAGGCUUCAAAUACUGCUUCCGCUUCUUGAUUCCAUUGGAAUUUAUCUUUACUAAUCAAGCGUGUAAGUGGAGCUGCAACUCGUGAGAAAUCUUUGAUGAAGAUCCGAUAGUAAUUGGCAAAUCCUAAGAAACAUUGGACAUCUCUUACUGUCCUUGGAAUCUUUCAAUCCAUGAUUGUUUGGACUUUCUUAGAAUCCAUCAUGAGACCAUCAUUUGAAAUGAUGUAUCCUAAAAAGUCAACUUGAGUAGUGUGAAAUACACACUUUUCCAUCUUGGCGUACAAUCCUGCAUCUCUAAGUUUUUGUAAUACUUGACGAACAUGUAUUUCAUGUUCUUCGACAUUCUUAGAAUAGAUCAAGAUAUCGUCUAGAUAGCACACGACAAAAUUGUCUAAGAAUUCACGAAAUACAUCAUUCAUGAGAUGUUAAAAAGCAGCUGGUGCAUUCGUGAGUCCAAAGGGCAUGACAUUAUAUUUGAAAUGUCCAUACCUGGUUCGAAACGCAGUCUUCCAUUCAUCUCCUUCUUUGAUGCGUACUAGAUUAUAUGCUCCUCUUAGAUCUAUUUUUGUAUAGAUCUUAGCUUGAUUCAACUAGUCAAGGAGUCUUGAUAUCAAAGGUAAUGGAUACCUGUUCUUGAUUGUGAUCUUGUUGAGUCCUCGAUAAUCAACACACAUUCGUAAAGAUCCAUCUUUUUUCUUUACGAAUAGAAUUGGAGCUCCUGCUGGAGAUUUUGAAUGGCGUAUGAAAUUCUUUGCUAAAUUCUCGUCAAUAUAUGUCUUGAGUUCAGCCAUCUCAUCUUGCGAUAAACUGUAAAUUGGUCCAAAUGGUGGCUGAGUUCCUUCCUUGAGGCCGAUUGAACACUCAUAUGGACGAUGCUCAGGAAGAAUAUCUGCAUUCUUUUUCUCAAAAACGUCUUGAUACUCCUGAUAUUGACUUGGAAUGCCACUUGAAGUCUUUACGUUUUCAGAAAUAGGUGCAGCAUAAAUAGCAAAAGUUGAUCCUUCUUUUGCUGCGUGUAUAAAUGCUUUUGCACCUAUCAGUACGGGUUUUACUAUACUAGACUUAUAAUUUUUUACUUGGUUAGUAGAACUAUUAAUAAUGCUCUGGGAAAAGUCAAGUUUACACGAAUUCUAAUCUAUUCGAGGGUUAUAUUUUUCUAGCCAGGAUAAACCUAAAAUAACUGGAUUGGACGGGGAUUUAAUUAUGUUAAAAGCUAUGUAGCUAUCAUGACCGUCUAUUGUUACUUUUAUAGGAUGAGUUUCAUGAGUGACAUCUUCAAAAGACAAGGGACGACCAUCUAUGACUUCUACAUGUACUGGUUUAGGUUUCUGUAUAAAAGGUAUUUUACGACUUUUAACAAAUUGUUCAUCUAAAAAACAUGCUCAGGCUCCCGAAUCUAAUAAAGCAGAGGCUUUGUAAUUCUUAGGUCCUAAAUAUAAGUCUAUUAUAAAACAAGGAGAGGGUUCUGAGGAGAGGAUAGGACCUUCAUUAGGAAUUGUACAAGUAUCCAACUGCAUGGUUCCUAUUGUAGCUGGACGAAUCCGUUUUCCGACAUGUUGUUUUCUUUGACCGUCGUACCCCUCAUUUUAUAGUUGCGUCGCUUCUUUGGACAAUGUUGAGCAGUGUGCUUAGGUUCUCCACAAUAUAAACAUAAUCCUUCUUGACGACGACGAAUCUUUUCUUGCUCAGUUAGGGGUUUAAAACGUACCGCGUCAAUUUGCAUGUCUUUUACUUCCGAAUGUACGUUUGGCAAAGAUGUUGAUGUUGCCAUUGAGUAAUAACGUUGAGGUUCCCAUGAAUGAUUCUCAGAUCGAAAUUCGGAAAGUCGAUUAUCACAUUUUAUCGCAAAAUCGAUUGCUUGACACAAAGUUUGAGGAUCAAGUAAGUUGAGCAUCAAUUUCUUUACUUUGUAUUGCAAUCCAUAAAGAAAUUGACUAAUGAGUGCAGCAUCAUCCCACUUGAUGUCAAUUACAAGUUGUCAAAAUUGUGAAGCAUACACUGUUACUGAGCGAUUUUCUUGUCGCAGAAUUCGGAUCUUAUUUGUUGCAACACGAGUUGCAUCGUGUUCACCAUACAUAGAUCAAAACUCCGCCAAAAAAGCUUCCAAAUUGUCCUAUAUUGGAUUUUAUUGUUCAAGAAAAGACGAAAACUAUGAUAAUGCAGAACCAGAAAGUAGAGUGCCAAUAAAACUGACUUGUGAUCCUGGAAUUGGAUAGCUUUGCGGUUGAAGUUCAAUUGCCAAUUGUACUUGAUUGAUGAACCCUCGAAACUUAGAUCUCGUACCAUCAAAUUUCUCGGAUAAGGCAAUUCUUGGUUCUCUAGUGCUUAUAGGGUGUUGUACUAUUGGAGAAGGAAUGUGAUCUGUUGUAGAUGUUGAAGCAGCUCCGAUCAUCUCUAUAUCCCCACUUUCUGCUAUUCUUGUUCUUUCAUGUGUUGGUAAAUUGAGUUGAUGCAUCGCAAGCAUUAACUCUUUCAUUUGCUCUUGCAUUUGUGCCAUUGCACUCUUCAUUUCAACAAGCUCUGCCAUAAUGACACUAAGAAAAAUUUGUUUGAUACUGCUCAAGACAAAAGAAAAGAAAGACUUGAUAAUAAAGAAGAUACUAAGAACAAUAUCAGUUUAGAAGUGGGUAAUCCGCAAACUUCUAAUAUGCUUAUGUCUUGUCAAGAGAAAGGGGUAAUCCACUCUCACUCAAGAAAAACAAAGCUCUGAUAUUGUAAGUGCACUCUUGUCAAGGACAAAGACUCGAUGAAGGAAAAUAUACACAAAAAGGCUAUCUCGAUAUAAUAAGUCAAAAUAUAAAGAAGUAGGUAUAUUAAAAGAAAAUUGGAAUGGCUAUUGCCACAAGACAAGAAACUAAAGACUCUUGAACCUGGACUAGAAGCAAGAAAGGAGUUGACAAGAGUGAAGAAGCCUUCACUCUUGUCUCUAUAUAUACUAUGUAACUAGGGGCUACGUGGCGACGUUCUAUAGGACCUCCAAUAUGUGUUGACUUUGUAGGACACAUGCCUUGACUUACAAGGCAAGUUUUUCUACGUGUGGGCCACAUAGUUAGCUUGAUCUUCAAGCUAACAAUAUGUGUGGCACAUGGCCAACUUGUUGACCACGUUUCUAAUCCAAAAAGUCAAUUAAAGACACCUAUGAAGUCAAAGCAGCGUCUAGGAAGUUUUUAGGAAGCUUCUAUAUUAAAUAUUAUAGAAUUUACUUACUUUUAUUUACUUUUACUUACUUCUACCUAUUUCUAUAUGUAAUUAUUAGCUUACAUGAUUAUGGCCGUGACAGCCAAAUAUGGAAUUUCUUUAAAUUCAAAAAAGUACCAAUUUGGUGUGCCUUCUGGUAAAUUGUUGGUUCAUAUAGUUUUGAUGGCAGGCAUUGCUUUAGAUCCAAAUAAAAUAAAGAUUAUAGUAAAAUUAAAGCAACCAGAUACUGUUACGCAUGUUCGAGUAUUUAUCGGCCAUGUCAGUUAUUAUCGGUGAUUUAUAUAUCUAUUCACAGUUAUAUGCCUUUCCUUGACAAAUCUCUUAAAAAAACCACCAACUGAUGGAAUCUGUCUAUUUUGGACAAAAGAAUGUACAAUUGCAUUCGAAAUAUUGAAACAGAAAUUGCUAUCAGCACCAAUAUUGUUGGCACCUUGUUGGACAAAACCAUUCCAAGUUUAGAUGGAUGCAUCUUAUGUCACGAUUGAUUUUGUGCUAAGCCAGAAAGAUGACCGGGAUUUUGAUCACCCUAUUUAUUAUAUAAGUCAUCAAUUAGUAGCAACUGAAAGAAAUUAUAGAACAACUAAAAGAGAAGCAUUAGGAAUGGUUUAUUCCAUACAAAAGUUUCGAUAUUAUCUUCUUGGUUAUAAAUUUAUUUUCCAUGUCGACCAUGAUGCUUUAAAAUAUAUGAUAAAUAAGCUUCAAUUGAGUGGUCGUAUUGCACGAUAGAUUCUACUCUUAUAGAUAUUUGACUUUACUAUUCAGGUAAGACCAAGAAAGUCACAUUCCAAUGUGGACCAUUUAUCUUGGUUAUCGAAUAUAUUGGGUAAUGAACCCAUUAACGAUGCACUACCCGAUGCGAAACUGUUUACGGUAGAUGCAAUUACUCUGGAGUAUAGUGAAAUAAUUCAAUAUUUGACAUUUCAAACCUUUCCUUCUAAUUUCAAUGAAAAGCUUAAACACUACUUAAUAUUAAAAUAUGUACCUUAUACGAUGGUUGGUGAAGCUUUAUAUAAACAAGGUAAGGAUGGAGUUUUGCAACGUUGUAUUUAUCAAACUGAAGUGCGUACUAUAUUGGAAGGUUGCCACUUGGAUAGUUGUGGUGGACAUUUUGCGGAAGACAGCACGGCUCGUAAAGCUUUACAGGCUGAUUAUUGGUGGUCAAUAAUGUUUGCAGAUGUCUACCAAUUUGUCAAUUAUUGUGACCCAUGUGAGAGAACGGGUCAACUUAUUGGAACUUCAGCAAUGCCAUUGGUACCAAUUUUGACUCAAGCACCUUUUAAAAAAUAGGGAAUUGAUUUUGUGGAACCAAUUGCACCAACCUCGAGAAAUGGACAAAAAUAGUAUAUACUGGUAGCAACAGAUUACAUAACACAAUGAACUGAAGUAGUAGCUAUGAAAACUGAUAGUACAAGUACAAUAGCAACCUUUUUGUAUGAAAAUAUUAUUAUACGAUUCAGUUGUCUACGAGAAUUGGUUAGUAAUCAAGGAACUCAUUUUAUCAAUAGUAUAAUCAAAGCACUCAUGGCUAAAUACGAGAUAAAAUAUCAAAAGACUACACCGUAUCACCCUAGAGUCAAUGGACAAACAAAAAAGACUAAUGGAAUUUUAUGUAAAAUCUUAACAAAAAUAGUUUCAGAAGCGGGAAUAAAUUGGGACACAAAGUUGUUCGCAGCUUUAUGGGCAUACCAUACUGCAUAUAAAGUUACUACCAAUGCUACUCCUUUCCAAUUGGUUUAUGGCCAGGAAGCAAUCUUACCUAUUGAAUUGGAAGUCCAAAGUUUACAAAUUGCUAUAGAUAAUAGAUUGAAAGAUCGUGAUUCAUUAUGGCACUAUUUAGAAGAAUUAAAAAAAUUGGAUGAAACUAGAGCCAAUGCAUUAAUGAUAAUGGAAAUGACAAAGAAACGAAGGAAGACUUAUUAUGAUAGUAAGCUUAGACCAAAAGCUUUUAUGCCAAAUGAUUUGGUACUUCUUUAUGAUAGUCGAUUUAAAAAUUUUUCAAGAAAAUUUCAAGUUUGAUGGCAUGGACUAUAUAGAGUUAUUGAAGGAUUUCCAAAUGAUAUAGUACAAUUGGAAGAUUUUGUGGGUACUAAAUUUACGACACGGAUCAAUGGCAAUCAGCUUAAACUUUACUAUAUAUAAACAGGGAACGGGUUUUCUGUUACAAAAGGGGGAAGUCGAUCCAAUUAAUUGGACCAUAGUAAGAAGUAGGAAGGGGGCUCUUGAGAGGCAUCGUGUUUUCUUUUGUGGUUAAGGAGAAGAUGGCGAACAUGGUGUCUGAGAGAGCAAGAAUGGAGACGGAUUGGAAGGAACGGGUAAGAGUGGCUGCUGGUAGAGGUUGUAAUGUUGCAGAAUAAACUAGCAGUAUUAGCGAAGGAGGCCAAUAAUUUAGUACGGACCAAUGCCAAUUUCAGCGAUAACACCUUUGGAAAUACCUUUGAAAUCGAAAGAAGAAUGGUAGAAGAUGUUAGAGGAGCAUGACAACCAAAUUGCCCAACGUGAUUCUUAGGUAUGGAAAUUAGAUUUGUUGAACGAAGACCUGAUGAUGCGUUUGGAUAGAGAACCAUCAAACACCGAGGUAGACGAUGAAGAUGUAAAGAGAAGAAGGUUACCAAUUCAAAGGGUGGUAAGCCAAUGCCAUUAACUGAAGAAGCCAACGCUGCUAUGUCUUUAUAAGUUGAGGCUAAAUAAUGUUUACAAGGACACUGCACAAUUAGGAGUGGAGCUAUGUAGAAUAGGUAAAUAAACUUUGUGGUAAGUUACUAGUUGAUUAUUAACAACCUUGAGAAUUAGAUUCAUGGUUAGGCAGUUUAGUUGGUAACAGUAGGUUGUUAGUGGAAUAAAUGGUUAAGAAUUCAAAGGGUUAUAACCUUUGGAAUCUACUGGCCAAUGGAUCAUCUUUUUGGUAGGAUAAAUAGGUUGAAGAAAGGUAAGCCGAGGGCCAGACUGAGAGUCAUAAGCCUAGAGUCAGACUGAGAGUCAUAAGUCGAGAGUCAGAUUGAGAGUCAUAAGCCGGGGUAAGCUUGGUGCUACCUCUUUAUUUUCUUUAUUAUUUGUAUAUGAAGAAUGGUGAUUGAGAGAAGUAUUGUUGAAUUGAUAAUCGUAGAAUGGAUUAUAGAUUGAAUUAAGAUGGAAGUAGUAAGCCGCAGUGUUUUGUAGUUUGAUACUUGAUUUCAGAUAGCCAGAAUACAGUCAAUUGUGAUACUAACAAAUCCAAUUCAUAUAACUAGUCUUUCUCCGUAUUUGAAUCUACCUCUAUUAGUUCAAUUGCUUUGGUCUACUAAAGCUUGAACAUAGCGAGAAUAACAUCUACCAAUGAAUAAGAUAUUCUAAUCUAUUUUGAUACCUCCUUGAGUCUAAGACUUCUUCUACCUCAAACUCUUGAUUAUUAUCUACUUCUAUAAGAUGAGGUGGAAUUUGUCUUCUUCCUAAAAUAUUCAUUGUCUUAUAUGGCUCAAGAAGGAAUAUGUAAAAUAUAAGGUGGAUCUUCAUAGACUUUGGUAGAUGUAAUUGAUAAGUAACAUGAUUGAUUUGUUCACAAAUAGAAAAAGGUCUCAGCCUAUAAUAGUCUAAUUUAUGAGAAGGACAAAUACUCUUGAUAUUGUGAUAAAGUAACCAUACCUUAUUACUUACAUUGAAUCAUGGUUGUUCUUUGUGAUACGCAUCCUUGUUGGUCUUUUGCCAUCCUUUAACUUCUUUUAAUUGUAUCUUUAUUGUUGCAUGUAGCUCUGACAAAUGAUUUGCUAAAUCUUUUGUUGCAAGAUUAUUAACUUUUAAAAAGUCAAAAGUAUUAAAUCAUAGAUGAUAACCAUAAUUGGUAAAGAAAGAUAUUUGUUGAAUAGAAGAAUAUAUCAAAUUAUUGUAUGAAAACUCUGCCAAUGGUAAAAGAAUUGUCCAAUCAUCUUAAUAAUAAUUGAUGGUACACCUCAAAUACUGCUUCAAAACUUAAUUCACCCAUUUUGUUUGCCUAUUAGUUUGAGGAUGAAAUGUCAAAAAAAGCUUUAUGUCUAUAUUUAAUAUUAUAAGUAGGAUUUUCUAGAAUCUUGAUACAAAUUGAAUCUCCCUAUCUGAUAUAAUAUCUUUUGGUAAUCCAUGAUAGUAAUAGAUAUUAUCAAUAAAAGAUUAGCUAUUUUUUUUUAUUUAAAAUAGAUUUUAUACAUGGUACAAAAUGUACCAUUUUGAUGAAGCAAUCUACAAUUAGGAAUAUAGAGUCAUAUGAACUUGAGAUUGGAAGAUCUGUGAUAAAAUCCAUAGAAAUAAAAGAUCAUGAUUCUUCUAGAAUUGAUAAUAGUUGAAGAAGUCUAUAAGAUCAAUGGCAAGGAAUUAUGGAUCUUGAAUAAGUAUUGCAUGAUUGUACUAAGGUUUUUACUGCCUUCCACAUUUGAAUCUACCAAAAAACUCUUGAUAUUAGCUACAAAGUUUUAUUGUAUCUAAAAUUUCUAGCUACUAGAAAAUCAUGACGAGCUUAAAAGACACGUAAUCGUACCGCACCUUUUAGAAUAUAUAGGCGAUCUUUGAAAUAUAGUAGGUUAUUCUUGAAUUCAAAAUUUGAAGUAUCAUAGGACUUAGAAGAAGUAUUCUUAAUAUCAUGAAUAAGAGGAUCAGAGGACAUGCUUGAUUGAAUUUGCUUGACAAAAGUUGAAUCAAUAGUCAAUAUUGAUUUUAUUGCUUAAAGAUGAAAAUACUUGGACUUCAAGAGGAUCAUUCUUUGUUGAUCAAAAGAUGCAUCUCCUUCUUUUGGUAUAAGAUAAGAAUAUCUAAAAAGAACAUUUGAUAGAUCUUAUUAUUUUUUGAGUUGAUAAGUGAACUUGAAAUUGAAUCUCAAUAAAGAUAUGAUCCAACGGGCUUGAUGACGAUUCAAAACAUGUGUUGACAUGAAAUAUUCAAGGUUCUUAUGAUUUGUAUAUAUGGUGACUAGAUUUAAGGUGCCUUCUAGAUAAUCACGCCAUUCUUGAAAUGAAUCCACAAUUGCAAGGAGCUCUUUAUCAUAGAUCUCAUAAUUAAACUUGGCUACUAAAAAUUUCUUAGAAUAGAAAGCUACUAGGUGGAGUUUGUUAUCUGUUCCCAUUUAUGACAACACAACAUCUAUAGCAAAGUUUGAUGUGUCUAUUUCCACAAAAAAAUACCUUAAAAAAGUCGACUCAAUAAAAGAUUGGUGCAAAAGUAAAUUUCUUCUUUAAAGCAUCAAAUGAUGCUUGUACUUCUUUAUUCCACUCAAAUUUUUCUUUACAAGUCAAACAUGUAAGUAGAGUUACAACUCAAGAAAAGUUCUUAAUGAAGAUUUGGUAGUAAUUAGCAAAGCCCAAAAAAUAUUGCACAUCCUUUAGUAUUCUUGGAAUCUUCCAAUCUAUGUUAAUUUGGACCUUCUUUGGAUCCAUCAAAAGGCCUUUGUUGGAAAUGAUUUAUUCUAAAAAGUCAAAUUGAAUAGUAUGGAAUACACACUUUUUCAACUUGACAUAUAAUCUUAUAUCUCUAAGUUUUUGUAAUAUGUGACAAAUAUGAAGUUCAUAUUCUUUUAUAUUCUUAAAAUAGAUUAGAAUGUUGUCUAAAUAGAAAACAAUAAAAUCAUCUAAAAACUCAUGAAAAAUAUUAUUCAUAAGAUAUUAAAAAGUGGCUGGUACAAUCGUGAGUUCAAAAGGCAUGAUAUUAUAUUCAAAAUGUCUGUAUCUAGUUAGAAAAGUAGUCUUCUAUUCAUCUCUUUCUUUGAUAUGAAGUAAGUUGUAUGCUCCUCAUAGAUCUAUUUUGCAAUAGAUCCUUGCUUGAUUGAGUUGGUGAAGAAGUCUUAAAAUCAAAAGCAAAGGAUAUCUAUUUUUGAUGGUGAUCUUAUUCAAUCCUCAAUAAUUUACACACAUCUACAAAGAUCUGUCUUUCUUCUUUACAAAUAAGAUAAGAGCCUCGAUUGGAGAUUUAGAAUGGCAUAUGAAUUUCUUUUCUAAGUUCUCAUCAAUAUACUCCUUUAAUGCAACCAACUCAUUUUGCGAUAAGCUAUGGAUUGAUCCGAAUGGUGGUUGAGCUCUUUCUUACAAAUCAAUUGAAUAAUUAUAAUGUUGAUGCUCUAGAAGAGUAUUUGCAUUUUUUAUUUCAAAAAUAUCUUAGAAUUCUUGAUAUUGGCUAAAAAUACUACUUGAUAUUUUUCUAUCAUUAAAAAUGGCCGUAGCAUAUAUAACAAAAGAUAAUCCUUCUUUUGUAGUAUGCAUGAAAGCUCUUGCACCUACCAGUAAAGGUUUAGAAAUACUAGAUUUAUAUACUUUUACUUCACUAACGUGAUCUUAGAUUAUACUAUCUGAAAAAUUAAGGUUACAAAAAAUCCAAUCUAUUUAAGGGUUAUAUUUUUCUAGCCACAAAAAUCCUAAAAUAAUUAGAUUGGAAGAAAAUCUUAUUAUAUUAAAUAUUAGUAUAUUGUUAUGAUCUUUAAUUAUUAUAUCUAAAGGAAUGAUUUCAUAGAUAAUAUUUCUAAAAGACAACAAAUAAUCAUUUAUGAUUUCUAUAUGUAUGGAUUUAGUUUUCUUGACUAAAGGUAUUUUUUGAUUUUUGACAAAAUCUUUGUCUAUAAAAGAGGUUGAGGCUCUUGAAUUUAAUAAAACAAAGACUUUGUGAUUUUUAGAUCUUAAACACACAUCUAUUAUAAAAUAAGGUAAAGGGUCUAAAGAGAGAAUAAGAUCUUUACUAGGUAUUGCACAUGAUUCCAUCUGCUCGAUCUCUAUUGUAAUUGGAGAAACUCGUUUUCUAAUACAUUAUCUUCUUUAGUAAUUGUGCUCCUUAUUUUAUAAUUAUAUUGCUUCUUUGAAUAAUAUUGAGGAUUGUGCUUAGCUUCUCCAUAAUAUAAAUAUAAAUCCUUUUGGCAAUGUCAAGUCUUUUCUUACUCUAUAAGAGGUUUAAAACAUAUCGUAUCAAUUUGCAUUGGUUCCGGCCUUGAUGAAUAUGUUUUAAAAAAAUUGAAAGCUGUCACCAUUAUUUGACUUGUACUUCUCCAUCCAAGUCUUUAUUCUUGAUGCCUUUCAAAUAAAAAAUUUUCAUAUGUAAUGGCUUGAGUAAUAAAUUAUUCUAAAUAUUCUACUUUCAAUAUUAUUAAUAAUAAAUCUUUGAUGCUAUCGUUCAAUCUAUAUCAAAAUUGAUUGAUAAGUACUUUGUCAUUUUAGUCUAUGUUACAAGUAAGAUUUUGGAAUUCAGUAGUAUAUGUGGUGGCUGAUCAUGAUUUUUAUUGUAAAAAUAAGAGUUUGGUCUCUACUACUCAUUUUCAAUCACUUUCAUUGAAUGUAGCUAUAAACACAUCUGAGAAUGAAAAUAAAUCAUAAAAAAAUCGUGAAUUCUUUUCUUUCAAAGGUACAAAUCAAGAAAGAGCACCUCUUAAUAGAAAUGCGCUUAUGAAGCCAACUUGAGUAAAUCCAUUUGCAUAUUGGAAAGGAUAAAAUCUUAAGUAGAGUUUAACUUGUUGUAAAAAUCUUCAAAAUUUUGAUCUUAUUCCAUCAAACUUCUCGAGCAUACUAAUUCUUACUUCUCUUGAGCUUGUAGAUACAAGACCUCCUGAAUUUGGUUAUAAGGCUGAUCAACUUGUUUUCCUCAAUUCUACAACUUCUUGACAUAGACUGUAAACUUCUUCUAUAGAUAUAGAAGUAGUGUUCCUACAGUUGACAUUUGUGAUGCAUGAAAUUUCUACCCCAAGAGUGUUGACAAGCUUAUGAAGAUCUGAAAUAGUUAUAAAUCUAUUCUUGCUUCUAUUAGGAAUAGCAUCUAUAAUCUUUCCUUCCAUAGAUAAUUCAAACAAAUCCAAAAAGUUAAAUUAGAGGAGGGUAAUCUACAACCUCUAAUAAAAAAUUCCACAAAGAAGAAUAAUCCACUUUCUUUAAGGAAAAGAUCAGUAUUAAAAAAUAAAAUUUUUUGUUUAAAGGUGGAUAGUUUGCAACCUUCAAAAUACAACAAUAGAAGUGGGAUAAUCCAUUCACUUCUAAAACAAGACAAAAAUUGUAUGUUAGUACUCUUGUCAAACUAUCAAGGAUAUGAAUCUCAAAAAAAAGAAAAUCCUCAAUACAUUCUUGUGUCACUGAAAAGAACUAGAAAGUCACUCAAAGAUGAUAUAUUAUUCAACUAGAAUAGCUAUUACUAAACAGAAGAAGACUAAAAAGACUUGGAAUAAGACUAAAAACUAUGAUAGCAUUGACAAGAGUGAAGAAAGAUUCAAUCUUGCUUUUAUAUAUACUCUUAACUAAGAGCUACGUGGUGAUGUCUUAUAGGACCUCCAAAACAUAUUGACUUUGCUAGCCACAUGUCUUAACUUGCAAGGCAAGUUAUUUAUAUAUAUGCCACAUAGUUAGCUUGUUCUACAAGCUACUACAUGGAGUUAACUUGUCUCAUAAGCUAUCAACAUGUGAUUAACUUGUUGGCCAAGUUUCUAUCCUAUAAAUAUAUCUAAAGUAAAAUUGUAUCUAUAAAGCUUCUAGAAAGCUUUCCUAAAAGACUUUAUAUAAUUAAUCUAUCUAAUUAUAUAAGUAACUAUUGGGAUAAAUAUAUAUAUUUGUGACACAUUCUAAUCCAUAUUGAAAGCAAGAUUUUGGAAUUCAAUAGCAUAUAUGAUAGUUGAUUGUGAUCCUUAUUGUAAAAAUAAGAAGUUAGUCUUUGCUAGUCUUUCUCAAUCACUUUUUUUGAAUAUAGCCAUGAAUACUUCUAAGAAUUAAUUUAAAUUCCAAAAGAAUUGUGAUUUCUUUUCCAUCAAAGGUGUAAAUAAAGAGAGAGCACUUCUAGAUAGAAUUACAUCCAACUUUAAUAAAUCCUUCAAGUUAUUCAAAGGGAUGCAAUUUUAGAUAGAGCUUGACUUAUUGCAAAAAUCUUCAAAAUUUUGAUCUUGUUUUAUCAAAAUUCUUGGGCAUAUUAAUCCUUAUCUUUGUCGUACUUGUAGAAGCAAAACUUCUUAGAUUUAGUUGUGAGGUUGAUUUACUUUCUUCCUUCAAGUAUUCAAUUUUUUUAUGUAGAUUUUGAACUUCUUUUAUAAGCAUAGGAUUAGUAUUUCCAUGUUUGGUGCUUGUGAUGUCUGAAAUUUCUAUCCUAAGAAUAUUGAUAAGUUCUUGAAAAUCAACAAUAGUUGCAAAUAGUUUUAAAAUAAGACUUAAGAUUAGAGAGGUAUUGACAAAAGUGAAGAAGGCUUCAUUCUUAUCUCUAUAUAAACUCUUAACUAGGAGCUACAUAGCAAUAUUUUAUACGACCUCCAAAACACGUUGAUUUUAUAAGACACAUAUCUUAACUUGUAAGGCAAGUUUUUUAUAUGUGUGCCACAUAGUUAACUAAUUUUUUAAGCUAUCAAUAUAUGAUUCACUUCUUAAUGAAGUUUUUAACCUAUCAAUCAAUUACAAAUACAUGUAAAGUCAAAGCAAUAUCUAUGAAGCUUCUAAAAAGCUUCUCUAGAAAAUAUUAUAAAAUUAAUCUACUUUUAUCUACUUAUAUUUAAUCAUAUAGAUUAAUAUUAUAGUCAAUAUAUGUAUCUAUAAUACUUUGUCACUAUAUCAAGACCAUUUGUCUUUAUGACAAGUUGGAUUACCAUAGACUUGGACUAUAUUUUUUUACUGAAAAGAUUAAUUUAGUUAUAUAUCAAUUAUAUCUAUUAGAAUCUAUGAAGAUCCAUCUCUUUUUUUAAGUGUCUUUUUUUGAGCCAUAUAAAAUAAUGAAUAUUCCAAAAAAAAGACAAAUACUUCCAUUCCUUAAAGAAAUAGAUAAUAAUCAAGAAUUUGAAGUGGAAGAAGUCUUAAUCUCAAGGCAACAGUAAUUUAGAUUAAAAAAUAUGGUUCAUUGGCAAAGGUAGGGUAUUAGUUAAUGUACAUGAAAGCCAACAAAGAAUCUUAUAAAUAUAAUAGAAAAUAUUAAAGCUUUUUAUUAAUAAUAUUUAUUAAAAUUAAGAUGAACAAUCAAGUAAAUCUUUGCUAUAAAAGAAAGAAUAUUUAACAAAGACUAUAUCCUAUCUUUUGUCUUUUAUUGUAAUUUCUUUGUAUUUGUGGCAUUAACAAGGUAAAGAAUCAACAACUAGUAAAUUAAACUCAAUAGCUAUUAUUUGCUGGCUUAUCAGAUGAAAUAUUAUAAUUUUUGUAACCUUUAAGACAAUAUAAUAGAGACAAAGACCUUCAAAAAUGACAUGUUUUUUUUUAAACAGAUAGAAAAGUAUAACAUGUUUAAUAUUACAACCUUGAAAGACACUCACAAUGUUAGGUGAUUUUAUUGGAGAUUGAAACAACUUUUGAUGGUAUUAUAAAUAUUUUAUUUGAAGAAAGUUAUAAAGGCUUUAACAAUGAUCAAAUACUAAGGUAGUUUUCUUACCUUGAAAUAAGACGUUAUUGAUGCCUCAAAUGACCUAUCAAUUACUUUGAAGAAAACAAAUAUCAAAAUAAAUGGCAAAUAUAAUUUAUUGCAUCUUAAAUUUUAUCAAUAUUCUUUGUGGAACUUCGCUUUGGAAGAAGAGAUAAUAUCAUAGAUAUACAUAUUUAUUUUAAUAGUUACUUAGAUAAUAUAAAUAAAUAGAAGUAGAUAUAAAAUAAAUUAAUUUGAUAAUAUCUUAUAAAAAAGCUUCAUUAAAAAAAAAAUUAUAUGUAUCUAAAAGUGAUUGAUAGAUUGAACACUUAGCCAACAAAUUAGCUACAUAUCAUAUGUAUUGAUAGCUUAUGAUACAAAUUAAUUAUUUGGUACAUGUAUAAAAAAAUUCUUUUAAAAAUUAAAACACAUAUCAAAGAUCCUAUAGAACAUUAUAACAUAGCUUUUAGUUAGAUAGUAUAUAUGAAAGUAAGAGUAAAGGCUUUUUCAAUCUUGUCAAUUAUUUUCUUCCUUCUAAUCUAGUUUCAAAGAUCUUUAAUUUUUUUAUCUUUUUAUAAUAGUCAUUUUAAUUUUUUUUAAUAUACAUACUUCUUUAGUUCUAUUUUGUCAUCUUUAUUUGGAUAAAUACUCACUUAUUAAUUUACUUUCAUUGAAUUUAUGUUCUUAAUAGCACCUUAAAUAAAUCAUUGAGGAGUUUCAAGCUUGAAUCUAUAUUGUAUUGAAUGUAAAAUCCUUGCAAUAUAAUGACAUUUAAAAAUGGAACAUUGUGUAAAAAUGGUGACAAAAAUGUACAAAGGUACAUAAGUCCUUGGUAGUUAUAACAAUUUUUUUUUUCAAAAAAAGCCUUAUAAUUACUAAUGUAUAGAAGGUAAAUUAAUGAAAAGCUUCUUUCAAUAACUAUUCAAUUAAAAAGAUUAAUAUAUUAAAGUAAGAAGAAAAAUGAAUAACAUGAGCAUAUAGUUUUUUAUUCUAAAUGCAUUACUAAAAAGUUGGAAUCUAUUGAUGCAAUUGAUAGAAUCCAAAAAAUUUGAAGAUAUUACAAAUAAUUGUCAUGGAUAUACAUAUAAUUACCUACAAGAGUCGAUAAAAGUAUGUAAAAGUAGAUAAAAGUAGGUUAAUCAUGCAAUAUCUUCUAAAGAAGCUUCUUAGAAGCUUCAUAGACGCUGCUUUGACCUUAUAGGAGUCCAUAGUUGACUUUUAGGUUAGAAACUUGGUCAACAAGUUAGCCAUGUGCCACACAUGUUGGUAGCUUGAAGGACAAGCUAACUACGUAGUCCACUCAUAGAAAACUUGCCUUGCAAGCAAAGACAUGUGGCCUAGAAAGUCAACACAUAUUGGAGGUCUUAUAGAAUAUCGCCACGUGGCUUCUAAUUAGAUAGUAUAUAUAGAGGCAAGAGUGAAGCUCUCUUCACUCUUGUCAACUCCUUUCUUGCUCCUAGUCCAGGUUCAAGAGUCUUUAGUUUCUUGUCUUGUGGCAAUAGCCAUUCCAGUUUCCUUUUAAUAUACUUACUUGUUUAUAUUUUGACUUAUUAUAUCGAGAUAGCCUUUUUGUAUAUGUUUUCCCUCAUCGAGUCUUUGUCCUUGACAAAUUGACAAGAGUACACUUACAAUAUCAGAGCUUUAUUUUUCUUGAGUAAGAGUGGAUUACCCCUUUCUCUUGACAAGACAUAAGCGUAUUAAAAGUUUGCGGAUUACCCACUUCUAAACUGAUAUUGUUCUUAGUAUCUUCUUUGUUAUCAAGUCUUUCUUUUCUUUUGUCUUGAGCAGUAUCAAACAAAUUUUUCUUAGUGUCAUUAUGGCAGAGCUUGUUGAAAUGAAGAGUGCAAUGGCACAAAUGCAAGAGCAAAUGAGGGAGUUAAUGCUUGCGAUGCAUCAACUCAAUUCACCAACACAGGAAAGAACAAGAAUAGUAGAAAGUGGGGAUAUAGAGAUGAUCGGAGCUGCUUCAACAUCUGCAACAAAUCACGUUCCUUCUCCAAUUGUACAACACCCUGUAAGCACUAGAAAACCAAGAAUUGCCUUACCCGAGAAAUUUGAUGGUACGAGAUCAAAGAUUCGAGGGUUCAUCAAUCAAGUACAAUUGGCAAUUGAACUUCAACCACAAAGCUAUCCAACUCCAGGAUCACAAGUCAGGUUUAUUCAAACUCUACUUUCUGGUUCUGCAUUAUCGUGGUUUUUGUCUUUUCUUGAACAACGAAAUCCAAUAUUGGACAAUUUGGAAGCUUUUUUGGUGGAGUUUCGAUCUAUGUAUGGUGAACACGAUGCAACUCGUGUUGCAACAAAUAAGAUCCGAAUUCUGCGACAAGGAAAUCGCUCAGUAACAGUGUAUGCUUCACAAUUUUGACAACUCGCGAUUGACAUCAAGUUGGAUGAUGCUGCACUCAUUAAUCAAUUUCUUUAUGGAUUGCAAUACGAAGUAAAGAAAUUGAUGCUCAACUUACUUGAUCCUCAAACUUUGAGUCAAGCAAUCGAUUUUGCGGUAAAAUGUGAUAAUCAACUUUUUGAAUUUCGAUCCGAGAAUCAUUUACAGGAACCUCAACGUUAUUACUCAAUGACAACGUCAACAUCUUUGCCAAAUUUACAUUCGGAAGUAGAAGACAUGCAAAUUGACGCGGUACGUUUUAAACCCCUAACUGAGCAAGAAAAGAUUCGUCGUCGUCAAGAAGGAUUAUGUUUAUAUUGUGGAGAACCUAAGCACACUGCUCAACAUUAUCCAAAGAAACGACGCAACUAUAAAAUGAGGGGUACGACGGUCAAAGAAAACAACAUGUCGGAAAACGGAUUCGUCUAGCUACAAUAGGGACCAUGCAGCUGGAACCUUGUACAAUUCCUAAUGAAGGUCCUAUCCUCUCCUCAGAACCCUCUCCUUGUUUUAUAAUAGACUUAUAUUUAGGACCUAAGAAUUACAAAGCCUCUGCUUUAUUAGAUUCGGGAGCCUCAGCAUGUUUUUUAGAUGAACAAUUUGUUAAAAGUCGUAAAAUACCUUUUAUACAGAAACCUAAACCAGUACAUGUAGAAGUCAUAGAUGGUCGUCCCUUGUCUUUUGAAGAUGUCACUCAUAAAACUCAUCCUAUAAAAGUAACAAUAGACGGUCAUGAUAGCUACAUAGCUUUUAACAUAAUUAAAUCCCCGUCCAAUCCAGUUAUUUUAGGUUUAUCCUGGCUAGAAAAAUAUAACCCUCGAAUAGAUUGGAAUUCGUGUAAACUUGACUUUUCCCAGAGCGUUAUUAAUAGUUCUACUAAUCAAGUAAAAAAUUAUAAGUCUAGUAUAGUAAAACCCGUACUGAUAGGUACAAAAGCAUUUAUACACGCAGCAAAAGAAGGAUCAACUUUUGCUAUUUAUGCUGUACCUAUUUCUGAAAACGUAAAGACUUCAUGUGGCAUUCCAAGUCAAUAUCAGGAGUAACAAGACGUUUUUGAGAAAAAGAAUGCAGAUAUUCUUCCUGAGCAUCGUCCAUAUGAUUGUUCAAUCGACCUCAAGGAAGGAACUCAGCCACCAUUUGGACCAAUUUACAGUUUAUCGCAAGAUGAGAUGGCUGAACUCAAGACAUAUAUUGACGAGAAUUUAGCAAAGAAUUUCAUACGCCAUUCAAAAUCUCCAGCAGGAGCUCCAAUUCUAUUCGUAAAGAAAAAAGAUGGAUCUUUACGAAUGUGUGUUGAUUAUCGAGGACUCAACAAGAUCACAAUCAAGAACAGGUAUCCAUUACCUUUGAAAUCAGGACUCCUUGACCAGUUGAAUCAAGCUAAGAUCUAUACAAAAAUAGAUCUAAGAGGAGCAUAUAAUCUAGUACAGAUCAAAGAAGGAGAUGAAUGGAAGACUGCGUUUCGAACCAGGUAUGGACAUUUCGAAUAUAAUGUCAUGUCCUUUGGACUCACGAAUGCACCAGCUGCUUUUUAACAUCUCAUGAAUGAUAUAUUUCGUGAAUUCUUAGACAAUUUUGUCGUCUGCUAUCUAGACAAUAUCCUGAUCUAUUCUAAGAAUGUCGAAGAACAUGAAAUACAUGUUCGUCAAGUAUUACAAAAAUUUAGAGAUGCAGGAUUGUACGCCAAGAUGAAAAAGUGUGUAUUUCACACUACUCAAGUUGACUUUUUAGGAUACAUCAUUUCAAAUGAUGGUCUCAUGAUGGAUUCUAAGAAAGUCCAAACAAUCAUGGAUUGGAAGAUUCCAAGGACAGUAAGAGAUGUCCAAUGUUUCUUGGGAUUUGCCAAUUACUAUCGGAUCUUCAUGAAAGAUUUCUCACGAGUUGCAGCUCCACUUACACGCUUGAUUAGUAAAGAUAAAUUCCAAUGGAAUCAAGAAGCGGAAGCAGCAUUUGAAGCCUUGAAGACAUCGUUUGUCUCUACACCAGUCUUAUAUUGUGUUGACUUUUCCAAGGCAUUUUUUAUGGAAACAGAUGCAUCAGAUUUUACCUUGGGUGCAGUUUUAUCACAAAUGGGAACAGAUGACAAAUUUCAUCCGAUAACUUUUUAUUCAAGAAAAUUCUCAGCAGCCGAGAUCAAUUAUGAGAUCCACGAUAAAGAACUUCUUGCGAUCAUGGAUUCCUUUCAAGAAUGGCGUCAUUAUCUAGAAGGUGCUUCUAGUCUAGUCAUUGUGUAUACAGAUCACAAGAACCUCGAGUAUUUCAUGUCAGCAUGCGUCUUGAAUCGUCGUCAAGCUCGUUGGAGUAUGUCUUUGUCAAGAUUCGAAAUCAUUAUCACUUCUCGGCCAGGAAAACAACAAGGUUUAUCCGAUGCCCUAUCUAGACGUUCUUAUUUUGCACCAAAAGAAGGAGAUGCAGCUUUUGAGCAACAAAGAACGGUCCUCUUGAAACCAGAGCAAUUUCAUCUCCGAGCAAUGAAAUCAACAUUGACUGUUGAUUCAACUUUUCUCAAGCAAAUCCAGUCCAGUAUGUCCUCAGACCCUCUUGUUCAUGAUAUCGAGAAUAAUUCUUCCAAGUCUCAUGAUCCUUCUAAGUUCGAGUUCAAGAAUAAUCUAUUAUAUUUUGAAGGACGCCUAUAUGUUCCAGAAGGAGAAGCACGUUUACGUGUUCUUCAAGCACGUCACGACUUUCCAGCAGCAGGGCACUUUGGAUAUAAUAAGACUUUGGAACUCAUAUCAAGAGAUUUUUGGUGGCCACAAAUGUGGAAAUCAGUCAAAGACUUUGUACAAUCAUGUGAUAUUUGUUCAAGAUCAAAAAUUCCUCGUCAUCGACCUUACGGACUUCUUCAGCCAUUACCUAUACCAGAACAACCAUGGUCUUCUGUUUCUAUGGAUUUCAUCACAGAUCUUCCAAGCUCAAGAUCUUAUGAUUCUAUAUUUGUGAUAGUAGAUCGUUUCACGAAGAUGGCACAUUUUAUGCCAUGUACAAAAUCUAUCACAGGUGAAGAAACAGCUAAGCUUUUUAUUGAUAAUAUCUAUCGCUAUCAUGGAUUACCUAAAGAUAUCAUAUCGGAUAGGGGAAGUCAAUUUGUGUCAAGAUUUUGGAGGACCCUUUUCAAGAUUUUAAAAGUGGACAUAAAACUAUCUUCGGCUUUUCAUCCUCAAACUGAUGGACAAAUAGAGCGCGUAAACCAAGUCUUAGAGCAAUAUUUAAGGUGUACUAUCAACUACCAACAAGAUGAUUGGACAACCCUUCUGCCAUUGGCAGAGUUUGCUUAUAAUAAUACGGUACAUUCUUCCACGCAACAAACACCUUUCUUUGCCAAUUAUGGCUAUCAUCCAUGACUUGAUACUUUUGAUUUUUCAAAAGUUGAUAAUCCUGUAGCAGAAGAUAUGGCAAAUCGGUUGUCAGAGUUACAUGCAAUAAUGAAGACGUAAUUGAAGGAAGCUCAAGAACGACAAAAGAUAAAUACGGAUCUAUAUCGUAAGGAGCAACCACAACUCAAUGUGGGUGAUAAGGUAUGGCUACUUCGUCGCAAUAUCAAGACUAUUCGACCUUGUGACAAGUUGGACUAUCGUAGGCUUGGCCCCUUUUCUGUUUCUGAACAGAUCAACCCAGUUGCAUAUCGAUUAUAUCUACCGGAGUCAAGGAAGAUCCAUCCUGUAUUCCACGUGUGUCUUCUUGAACCAUAUAAGACAGUGGAUAUACAAGGAAGAAGACAAAUGCCACCGCCUCCUAUAGAAGUAGAUAAUAAUGAAGAAUUUGAGGUGGAAGAGAUAUUAGACUCAAGGCGGCGCCAAAAUAAACUGGAAUAUCUUGUUCAUUGGCGCGGAUAUGAUAUUAGUAAACGCACAUGGGAGCCAUCUAGGAAUCUAGCAAAUGCAUCAGCUAAAGUCAAAGUUUUUCAUCAACGACAUCCAUCAAAACCAAGAUGAAAAUCUCUCUUAUUAGAGAGACAAGAUUGAGGCAAGAUAACAUUCAAUUUCCUAGCCUUGUUUGUAACUUCUUUGCAUUUGUGACGCUAAUUAGAUGGAGAGCCAACAACCAGUGGAUUCAACUCAAGAACCUUCGUUUGCUGACUUACCGGAUGAGACAUUGCGAUUGUCACAACCUUCAAGACGACGCAACCGAGAUGAAGACCCUCAAGAACGACAUGUUCUUCCUCGAAUAGAUGGUGAGAUACAACGCGUUUGGUAUCACGACCUUGGAAGAGAUUCUCGAUGUUUGGUGAUAUUACUGGAGAUAAGAACGACUGCUGAUGGUGUUUCAAAUGUAUUAUUUGAAGGAAGUUAUGACGGCCUCAAUAAUGAUCAAAUAACAGGGUGGUCUUCUCGCCCUGGAAUGGGACACUAUCGAUGGCUAAGAGGACCCAUCAACUACCUUCGAAGAGAACAGAGAUCAGAGUAUGUAGCAAAUACUAUUCGCCGCAUAUUAGACUUUCUCAACAUAUAAUCACCGCUCCUCGUGGAACUCGUCCCUAGAAGGGGGGGUAAUGUCACGGAUAUACAUAUAAUUACCUACAAGAGUCGAGAAAAGUAUUUAAAAGUAGAUAAAAGUAGGUUAAUCAUGCAAUAUCUUCUAGAGAAGCUUCUUAGAAGCUUCAUAGACGCUGCUUUGACCUUAUAGGAGUCCAUAGUUGACUUUUAGGUUAGAAACUUGGUCAACAAGUUAGCCAUUUGCCACACAUGUUGGUAGCUUGAAGGACAAGCUAACUACGUAGUCCACUCAUAGAAAACUUGCCUUGCAAGCAAAGACAUGUGGCCUAGAAAGUCAACACAUAUUGGAGGUCUUAUAGAAUAUUGCCACGUGGCUUCUAAUUAGAUAGUAUAUAUAGAGGCAAGAGUGAAGCUCUCUUCACUCUUGUCAACUCCUUUCUUGCUCCUAGUCCAGGUUCAAGAGUCUUUAGUUUCUUGUCUUGUGGCAAUAGCCAUUCCAGUUUCCUUUUAAUAUACUUACUUGUUUAUAUUUUGACUUAUUAUAUCGAGAUAGUUUUUUUGUGUAUGUUUUCCCUCAUCGAGUCUUUGUCCUUGACAAUAAUAUAGAGUAAAUCAUAUUACUUAAAGAAGAGAUAAUAAGGUAAGAGAGAAGAAAUUCUUUCAUCUUUGCUUUUUUUGUGAUUAAGUUCAAGAGACAACUUAUAAAAAUUAACUUUGUUAAUUAUUUGCAAACAAAAAUGGAUCUUGGUGCCUAUUUAAAAAAUAAAGUAUUUAUAUAUUGAUUAUAUUAGCAACGUGCACAUCUAAUACGAUAAAAAUAAGAUCAUGUACUUUUAUAAAUCCAUUUUUAUACUACUACAAGGCUAUGACAACAUUAUUAGUGAAUUUUAAGAAUCAAGUAAGAUACACUUGAAGAUCCAAAAUUCACAAGAAAAAGUCUUUUAUUUAUGGCAACCUUAUAUAAGAAGGGAUGUCAAUUCAAUUUAAAUAAGACUAAAAUAAACUAUAGUUUUUUAUUUAGAAAUACUCUAAAUUCAAAAAAAUUGAGCAAUAAAGCAUAUUUCAUGCCUUACAAAGUAGAAAAGAUAGCCACUAUAGUUAGUAUAAAUACAAUUAGCCAAAUUCAUGCAGAGUGGCAUCAAACAUUAGUACAUGCAUUAACAAAAAUAAUUUUGAAGGUAGAAUGUACAAGAAUUGUCAUUGGAUUAAACAUCAAGGAAGAUAAACAAAACAUACUUCGUUACGAAUUAUGCAUUAUUUAAAAGGCAUAUUGGCAUUUUUUUAGACAAUCACAAACUCAUAGAAUUGAAAGCUAUUUAAUAGAGGUUGUUAUUUGUUCCUAUUUAUGACAACACCACAUCUAUGGCAAAGUCCAAUGCAUCUAUUUUUAUAAAACAUGCUUUAAAAAAGUCAAUAAGAUACAAAAUUAGUACAAAAAUAAAUGCUAUCUUUAAGGUUUCAAAAGUUGUUUAAGAUUUUUUACUGCUCUAAAGUUUUUCUUAAAAUUUCAAAUGCAUAAAAAGAGUUGCAAUUUGAGAGAAGUUCUUAAUGAAGAUUUAAUAAUAAUUGGAAAAUUUCAAAAAAUAUUACAUAUUUUUUUUUAUUAUUUUUGAAACCUUCUAAUUUAUAAUAAUUUAGAUCUUUUUAGGAUCCAUCAUAAGUUCAUUAUUUGAAAUGAUGUAUCUUAAAAAGUCAACUUAAAUAAUAUAAAAUAUAUAUUUUUUCAUCUUGAUAUCUUAUUGUGUAUCUCUAAAUUUUUGUAAUACACGACUUAUAUGAAGUUUAUGCUCUUUUGUUUUCUUAAAAUAUAUUAAAAUAUUUUUUGAAUAGCAAACAACAAAAUCAUUGAGAAAUUUUCAAAAAAUAUCAUUUAUUAGAUAUUAAAAAGUGGCUAAUACAUUCAUGAGUCCAAAAGCCAUAAUAAUACAUUUAAAAUGCCUAUACUUGGUUUAAAAUGCAAUCUUAUAUUCAUCUUCUUUUUUGAUGUAUAUCACAUUUUAUGCUUUUAAUAAAUCUAUUUUUGUAUAGAUCUUUACUUGAUUGAAUUGAUGAAGAAGUCAUGAAAUCAAAAGUAAAGAAUAUAUAUUAUUGAUAGUGAUCUUAUUGAAUCUUUGAUAGUCCACAUACAUCCACAAUGAUUUAUCUUUUUUCUUUACAAAUAAAAUAGAAGCUCUUGUUGGAGAUUUUGAAUGAUAUCAGAAAUUCUUAGCUAAGUUUUUAUCAAUGUAUUUUUUAAGUAUAAUCAAUUUUUUUUGCAAUAAGCUAGAUAUUGGUCCAAAUAAUAGUUGAGUUCCUUCUUGAGAAUAAUUAAAUAAUCAUAUAGAAGAUGUUCUAUAAGAAUAUCUAUAUUUUUUUCUUCAAAAAUAUCUUGAUAAUCUUGGUAAUAAUUUAGAAUGCUGCUUAUAGUCUUUUCACCAUUAGAAAUGAGUAAGAUGUAUAUGAUAAAAAGUGAUCCUUCUUUUAUAAUAUACAUGAAAACUCUCACACCUAUUAAUAAAAGUUUUGUUAUAUUAGAAUUUUAGAUUUCUAUUUGACUAAUAAAAUCUUUUAUUAAAUUAUAAGAAAAAUUAAGCUCACAAGAAAUCUAAUCUAUUUGAAGGUUAUACUUCUUUAGCCAUGAUAAUUAUAAAAUAAUUGGAUUGAAAAGAGAUCUUAUGGUAUUAAAUACUAUUAAACUAUUAUGACUAUUAACUAUUAUAUUUAAAAGAAUAGUUUUAUGGAAAAAAUCUAUAAAAGUUAACAAAAACUAUCUAUUAUUUCUACAUAAAUGAGUUUGAUUUUCUUGACUAAAAAUAUUUCUUGUUCUUUGACAAAAUCUCUAUCUAUAAGUUAAAAUCAAAGAUUUUGUAAUUUUAUAGUAUUGAAUAAAUUUCUAUUAUGAAAUAAGAUGAGAGAUCUAAGGAGAGAAUAAGUUCUUUACUUAGCAUUGUAUAAGAUUUAGCUACACAAUCUCUAUUAUAAUUGAAAAAACUCAUAUUUUGAUAUAUCAUCCACUUUAGCAAUUAUAUUCUUCAUUUUUUUGAUUAUGCGAUUUCUUUAGAUAAUGUUGAGCAAUAUUCUUGGAUUCUCUAUAAUAUAGGCACAAACCUUUUUGACAAUGUUGAAAAUUUUUUUGCUUAGUAAGAAGUUUAAAACAUAUCAUGUCAACUUGCAUAGACUUUGAUCAAGAUAAAUAGGCUUCCAAAAACUUAUAUAGUAUUUCCAUGAUUUGAUUUAUACCUCUGCGAGUAAAUCUUUAUUCUUAAAAACUUUUAAAGAAUCAAUUGUGACAUACAAUGGCUUGAACAAUAAAUUGCUUCAAUAAGUCUCUUCUUGGCAUUGUCAAUAAUAAAUCCUUGACAUUAUCUUUUAAUUUAUAUAAAAAUUGAUUGAUAUUUUUUUUUCAUUUUAAUCUAUAUAAUAAGUAAGGUUUUAAAAUUCAGCAAUAUAUAUAAAGGUUGAACAUAAUUCUUAUCAUAAAGAUAUAAAUUUGGUCUCUCCUAUCUUUUUUUAAAAACUUUUUUCAAUUGUGGCUGUAAAUACUUCUAAGAAUGAACUCAUAUUGUAGAAUAGUUAUAAAUCUUUUUGCAUCAAAGGUAUAAAUAAAAAAAAUACUCCUAGAUAGAGGUGUUUUCAAAAAUUUGACUUGAAUAAAUCCAUCAAGCUAUUAAGAAAGAUGCCAUAAAAUAGAGCUUUAUUUAUUAUAAAAACCUUUAAAACUUUGAUCUUGUUCCAUCAAACUUCUUUGAUAUACUUAUCCUUGCAUCCUUCUUACUUAUAAUAGUAAAGAUUUUUAGAUUCAAUAAUAAACUUGAUUUAUUUGUUUUUCUUAAUUACAUAAUUUCUUAGCAUAGACUUUAAACUUCAUUAUUGACUUAUUCUAUUAGUAUAAGAAUAGUAUUUUCAUGAUUCAUAUAUGAAAUACAUAAGAUUUCCAUCCUAAGAAUAUUGAUAAAUUCGUGAAGAUUUGAAAAAAUUGUAAAUCUAUUUUCACUUCUAUCUAAAGUAGCUUCCAUAAUUUUUCCUUCUAUAAAAAAUUCAAAAAAUUCAAAAAUCAAGUUAAAAGAAGAUAAUCUGUAAUUUCUAAUUUCAAAUAAAAAUUUCUAUAAAGAGAGAUAAUUAUUUUUUUAAAGAAAAAAAUUAGUAUUAGAAAAUUAUAUAUUAAUUUAAAAGUAGAUAGUCUCCAAUUUUCAAAAUACAAUGAUAGAAGUAGGAUAUUUUACUCACUUCUAAAACAAAACAAAAACAAUGAGUAAAUACUCUUAUUCAAUUGUUAAAGGCAUGAAUCUUAAAGAACUAAAAGAUCAAUAAACUCUUAUAUUACUCAAAAAGACUAAAAAAUCUCUCAAAAAUGGUAUUAGAGUAGAAUGGCUAUUGUUUGAGAUAAAAAGACUUAAAUGUCUUGAAAUAAGAUUAAGAAAUAAAAAGAUAUUGUUGUAGUAGAGAAAAUUUGCCUCAAGAAAGCUCUAAGCCUUUCACUGCUACUAAUUACUUGAACAAGUUGAAAAUUUAUAAAACAAAAAUAUUAUUUAUAGCUUAUCUUAAAGAAAAAAUUACAUGAAAUGCAUAAAUCUAAGAUACAUAAGAAUACCUAAGAUAUGACUAACUAUCCUAAAAUUGCUUCUACUCCUAUAAGGAUUCCUUUCAAUUAUGUAUCACUUAACAACUUAAUAAUUUUUUUAGAUUUUAAAUUUUCUAAAAAUUAGCUUAUAUCCUUAACUACUUCUAUAUAAAAAAAUCAACUAUAAAUUCAUUACAAUUCUUAUCUAAUAUCUAGCAAGUACUAAACAUAUCAAUUUUUAGGCAUCAUUGUACUAAUUCCAUCAUAUUUCAAAAAUCCAAUACUCAAAUACUAUGAAUUUUUCAUUUAAACUUCUUAACCUAGUCAUUUAUACUUGUAGAAAUUUUGAGCCAAAAAUUCAUCCAAAAACUUAAGAUAUGGCUAAAAUCAAAACCUCCAAUGAAACAAAUUUAAUUACUAAUCUCAAUUUUGAAGGACUAACUUUCAAUAGCCAUUUAUCCUUUAGUUUGGAUUAAAAUUGAAUUCUUUAUAUAAAAUUUAACUUUUAAAGUUGACUUUUGAAUCUUACUUUUUCAUUUCUAAAUGCUUUUCUUCAACUCUCUAUAUGCUUAAAAAAAUAACAAUAUUUAUCAAAAUUCACAUCCUAACUUCAAACAACCAUAUCUUUCUUAUCAAAAUUUUAAAUCAUAUAUUUUUUAUAUCCAACUUCUAGUCUAGAAAACAAGCUUUUUGAAUCCAAUAUUCAACUUCAAAUGAGUCAUUUUGCCUCAAAUGGUCCACCUUGCCUUAAAUGGAUUGCUCUAAAAUGGUUCCAAAUUCUAGUAUAAUCCGAGACAAUAACUUGAAGCCCAUUGGGCAUGACUUUCAAUCAAAGAAAAUAAAGUCUUCUAUCACUCACCUUAUUUACCCACAUGGAAUGGCCUAAGAGCUAAAAUAUUAUACUUUUGAUACCAAAGCCCUUCUAAAUUCCUUAUUAAUAAAUCUUAUAAUUUCUAUCUUUAAUUAUAAAAUUUAAACUACAAACUUUAAAAAAUUAUAUAAAUAUUUUAUUUUAUUUAUAUUUAUAUUUAUUUUAUUUUAUUUUUAAUUAUAAUCCAAAAUUUUAUAUUAUUUUAUAUUAUUUUUAUAUAUUAUAUUACUUUCAAGUAUGACAUCUAUUCUAUUACUUUCAAGUAUGACAUCUAUUCUAUUACUUUCAAGUAUGACAUCUAUUCUAUUACUUUCAAGUAUGACAUCUAUUCUAUUACUUUCAAGUAUGACAUCUAUUCUAUCUUAACUUACAUAUCCUCUCGCAUGUGCCAAUCUAACCACCCCUAUCCUAUUUAUCGUUUCCAUCUCCUUGUACAUCUUUCAUUUGAUCUAAAUCUAAUGGUUUCUAAAUCUAAAAGGUUACUUGAAAUAAAUCUGUCAUUUCUUCUCUUGAAUGCUUUGAUUUACUUUCCAACUACAUAUAUCUUCAAUAUUGUACUAUCCAACUCACGAAGCAAAUAGGUAGCAUUGUCAUUUACUGCCACCAUAUAUAGUUCAUACCAUCUUUGAGCAAACUUCCUAAGAAUGCUAUAUUGAUGCUCCAAACUACUAUGAAAUACUAAUAUCCAAUCUCCAUCUUCAAUUGGUUUGGACCUCAAACAAUGGAUUUUGUCAAACAUCUCUUUGUUGCUCAACCUAGUAAUCUUUAGUUUUUUUGAUGCAAUCUUUUGAUCUCCAAGUGAUCUUUCAAGCUGCUAAAUCUAAAGCUCCAAUAAUAUCUUUCUUGUGAUGCCAUUCUAAUAGUUCAACAACACCCAAGUAAGCACAAAAUCCUCCAUAUGCAUAAUUGACUUUUAGCCCAACAUUAAGAAGAGUAGGAAAUUGACUUUGAGCCCAACAUUAAGAAGAGUAGGAGAGCAGAGAAAAAGAAAAAGAAGAGUAGGAGAGCAGAGAAAAAGGAAAAGAAGAGUAGGAGAGCAGAGAGAAAACACCGAAUAAAGAAAAAGAUGGAAGGGGGGCAAGAGGCUGCCUCCGAAUUCUGGCAGCCUCACUGCCGAUAGGGUCCGGGCCUCCCCGGAUCUUUUCUAUUCUUUUUUUUAGUUUUUCUCUCUUCACGAUUCAUGAGCUCCGGCGCUUCGGAACUGUUCUUCUAUCUCCUUUGUAUCGUGGGAGUGCUGCGGUGCAGCGCUUCUGUAACUUUUUUUGUUUGUUUGUUUUGCUGUGUGUUUGGAUAGAGCUCCGUGAAUUUCGACGUCGGGGUGUUGCGUUCAGAGGCAUGGUGAGCCGGUUAUUGCUGCGUGCGAUGGUGUGCUGGCGGUGAGGCGUCGGUGGUGUUCUCUCUCGUUGGUGGCUUUGUAGUGGAAGUGUCGGGAUCUCUUGUUUUAUGCUAAAAAGCGGCCGUCAUCCAGUUGUGGUGUGUUGUGAGGUGCUGGUUUUGGUUGUUGAGCUGGUGGCAUUGCUGACCUUGUCUAAGGUUGCUGAUCGUUGUUGGUAUUUUGGAUUUUGUCAUCUUUUCCAUCUGGUGGUUGUCACUUUUAGUCAUAAAAUUGCGGGGUUGGUUGUCGCCUUUGGCGGAAGGGCUGCUUGUGCCUUAGUGUAGUGGAUUAAUUACUGUGUCGCCUUUCCUAGUCCAGUUACGACCGUAGGAAGUGUUUAGUUUUUUUUCUUUGCAUCCUCGAGCAAUUUCUGGGGAGGCGCACUGUCUAUCCUUGUUGUUUUUCUUCUCUCUUGCAGUUCCUGCGAGCUGAACGGUUGGCGUCAGUAAUAGUUCCUUCCUCGUCGUUUUGCUGGGCGUCAGGGUGGCUGUCGACGGGGUUUGGUUCCCUCGAGCUGCUUGGCUCUGGGUGUAUUUCUUCCCUCGUUCUCACGAGCUGCCGAAAUUGUGGAAGUGAGCUGUGGUGCUGGUAUUCCUCCGGAGGUGGUUACUCGUAGUACUGUGGAAUUCUACAACGCGUUACAAUGAACAUGGAGUGACAACUUAGUGACGCCUUCAGACUCCCAUGCAUAUAGGGAAGAAUUGGUCUAUAUCGUCAAUGGGUUCGUGCAAGCUAAAGACAAUCAGUUACUACCUUCGGUGAGGUGAUAAGUGUGAGUGUGCUUUAUCACGACUUAAUAUCCUAGUAUCAAGACACAUUAUAUUGAUAGAUAAGGCUCGAUUAUACAUAGAAAUUCAGGAUUAUGGAUUUGUUAAGGUUUGUAGUAUUUGAUAAAUACUCAUCCAGGUCACUCUCUCCUUAGGUCCUGCCGGACGUGUUCACUUCGUCUUCACAUGCACUUGGUUGUUCAUUCCGCUCUGUCGUUGUGAGACGAGGUUCACUUUGCUGGAUCUAAGUUGACAAGGACCCUGUCUGAGGUAUUUGGCGGACUAACGAAGGAUCAUGUGACUGAUGGUUCCGUUGCUGGGAAACCUGUAGAAUGCGGCUUCUAGGAGUGUCAAUGUUGCCUAUCAGUGCCAAGUGUAGAAGGAGAAGUUGAUUAAUUGUUGCAUGGACUAAUGCUACUGAUGAAUGGGUUGUCGAAUCCUUCUCUGUACGAUCAAUCUAGGCGGCUGUGGUGGUUUUUUUUUUGUGACUCACCAGUUUUCCUCCCUUGCUGCACCAACAACAUCCGUUGGAACCCCUUUUAAUUUGAAUUAUCCAUCAUCAUCAUCGGGAUAGUAGUGGUGUAGUUGAGUCUCUACAUUCGCCUUGGUCCAAGUUCACCUUCGACACCUUCAUACUGGCGAGAACUCUCUCAGGGAUAACACGGUGGGCAGAACAAGUUGGAGUGCGGGAAGAGGCUCUUCUUUGACCUUCUGUUACCAAUUGGAAAGUAGGCAAGACAUUGACUUUACAUCAUUGAGCUUGAAUUGAAAUAAAAUAUUUUGUGGGAGUUUAAAUCAAUCGGAUUAAAUUAGGCUUUGAAUGGAUGAAUUAGGAUUAUGGAUAGAUGGAUGUUAUUUAUAGGUACAUGAGUUCUCAUUUGUGGAUGAGAAGUUAUUCAUAGAUGAAAACUUAUUCAUAGAUAGAAUUUUCUUUGGGAUGAAUUUUGAGUUUUUGGAUGAUAAUUAAUUCUAAAAAAAAAAUUAUAAUUAAAAUUAAAAAUUCUUUAGAUUUGAAUAAAAUCAUCUAUUUUUUUUUAUUUUUUUUUAUCUUUUUUAUGAUUUAUGUUGAGUUAAUUGAAUACUUUGUGUUGUUAUUGUGGAGGAUGAAGGUGAAAUUUAAUUUGUCUAGAAUUGAGAAGUUAAUAGAUAAACAUGGAAGAUAAUUUACUCACUUAAAUUAUAAGUUAAUUAAUAUUGAUGAAUUAAAAUAGAUUAUCUAUUAGAAGAAUUUAUGUCUAUCACCAUUGGGAUUUUUAUUGAAAUUUUUGGAUACUUAAUAAAAAAUUAAUAGGAUUUUUUAAUAAAAUUUAGAUAAUUAAAUCAUUGUGGAUUAAAAUAGGCUCUCAACUAGAGAAGGUUUAUUUUACUCUACAUUCACUCUUGCCAUUAGCCUCACAAUUAUUAGUAGUUGUCACCUUCAAUUUUAUAUCAUAUCUUUGAAAAUAAUCUCUAACCUCUGUUAUAUUCAAUUCAAGUUGGACAUAUGGUACAUCCCUAGGAAACUUGUCUUGAAAAUUAAACAUGUGUCCUAUAAGUUGGAUGCCUAUUAGAGGUCCUAUAGCAUGUCACCACAUAUUCCUUAGUUAAGUAGUAUAUAGAGAGGCAAAAGUGAGGCCUUCCUCACUCUUGUCAAUUCCUUUCUUGGUUUUUAGUCUAGUUUCAAGAAACUUAUGUUUUCUAGGCUUUGACAAUAGUCAUUCCAAUUCUUCUUUGAAUAUACAUAUUUUCUUUUAUUUUGUCACUUUUCUUUUGACACAAAUUCUACAACUUUAUGCAUCUUCUUCUAGUUUGUGUCACUGACAGAUUGACAAGAAUUCACAUACAAUAUCAGAGCUUUGUCUUUUCUUGAUUAAGAGUGGAUUACUCCUUUCUCUUGAUAAGACAUAAGCAUAUUAGGAAUUUCAGAUUAUCCUCUUCUAAACUAAUAUUAUUUCUAGAAUUUUUUUUUCUUGACUCUUGAGUAUUGUAUUUUGUGAGAAUAGACACCUUUUUUUUUAUUGUACUAGCAUAGCAAAGCUUAUUGAAAUAAAGAGUGUAAUGGCUCAAAUGUAAGAACAAAUGAAAAAAUUAAUGCUUACAAUGCAUCAACUCAUUCUACUAUGACAAGGAGCAAUAAGAUUAUCAAUCAAUGAAGAUAUAGAGAUGAUUAGAGUUGCUUCAACAUCUACACUAAGCCAUACUACUGUUCGUACAACAAAACAUCAUUUAAGUUUUAAAGAACCAAAAAUAGAUUAUCUGAGAAGUUUGAUGGCAUAAGAUUUAAGUUUUGAGGGUUCAUCAAUCAUAUAAAACUAGUGAUUGAACCACAACCUUAAAGUUAUCCAACUCAAGGAUCACAAGUCAAGUUUAUUGAAAUACUACUUUGAGGUUCUGCUUUAUCAUGGUUUUCAUCAUUUCUUGAAUAAUGUGAUCCAAUAUUGAAUAAUUUGAAAGCAUUCUUAGUGGAAUUUUGAUCUAUGUAUGGAGAAUAUGAUACAAUCCAUGUUGCAAUCAAUAAGAUGUUUGUCUUAUGACAAGACAAUUGAUCAGUGACAUUAUAUGCUUCACAAUUUCAAUAAUCAGUGACAGAUAUCAAGUAUGAUGAUGUAGCACUCAUCAGCCAAUUUCUUUAUGGAUUACAACAUGAAGUAAAGAAAUUGAUGCUCAAUUUAUCUGAUCCUCAUAAAAUGAGUCAAGCAAUUGAAUUUAUUGUAAAAUAUGACAAUUGGCUUUUGGAGUUUUAAUUUGAGAUUUAUACAAGAGAACUUCAAUAUUAUUACAAUUCAAUGAUGACACCAACGACUUCUCAAUUUAAGUAUUUGAAAGUAGAAGACAUGUAAAUUGAUGCAGUAUGUUUUAAACCUCUUAUCAAACAAGAAAAGACUCGUCGUUGUCAAGAAGGACUAUGUUUAUAUUAUGGAGAAGCUAAGUAUACUACUCAAUAUUGUCCAAAUAAAUGAUGCAACUAUAAAAUAAGGAGUACUAUUGUCAAAGAUGAAAACAUGUUGGAAAAUAAAUUUAUCCAACUACAAUAGGGAUCAUGCAAUUGAAAUCUUGUACAAUUCCUAAUAAAGGUCCUAUUCUCUCCUUAGGACCUUCUCCUUAUUUUAUAAUAGAUGUACAUUAAAGAUCUAAUAACCACAAAGCCUCUGCCUUGAUAGAUUCAAGAACCUCUACUUAUUUUUUAGAUAAAGAAUUUGUUAAAAGUCAUAAUAUACAAUUAAUACAAAAAAACUAAAUCCGUAUACAUAGAAGUCAUAGACGGUCAUUUGUUAUCUUUUGGAGAUAUUACUCAUGAAAUACUUCUUAUAGAUGUAGUAAUAAAUAGCCAUAAUAGUUGUGUAAUUUUUAAUAUAAUUAGAUCUCCUUCUAAUCUAGUCAUUUUAGAUUUAUUGUGGUUAGAAAAUUAUAAUCUUCUGAUGGAUUGAAUUUCUUGUAAACUUGACUUUUUUUUUAAUAUUAUUAAGUGUUUUUCUAAUCUAAUAAAAAGAUAUGAAUGUAGUAUAGCCAAACUUGUACUCGUAGGUGUAAAAGCUUUUUUGCAUGAUGCAAAAGAAAAAUCAUCUUUUGUUAUUUAUGCCUCAUUCAUUUUAAAUGAUGGAAAGAUUUAAAGUAAAAUUUCAAGUCAAUAUCAAGAUUUUCAAGAUGUUUUUGAGAAGAAGAAUGGAGAUAUUCUCUUAGAGCAUUGUCUAUAUGAUUGCUCAAUUGAUCUUAAAGAAGAAACUCAGGUGCUAUUUGGUCCAAUUUAUAGUUUAUCACAAAAUGAGUUGGUUGAACUCAAGAAGUACAUUAAUGAGAACUUGGCCAAGAAUUUCAUACACCAUUCAAAAUCUCCUACAGGAGCUCUUAUUUUAUUUGUGAAGAAAAACGAUGGAUCAUUAUGAAUGUCCAUAGAUUAUCAAGGACUCAACAAGAUUACCAUCAAGAAUAAAUAUCUUUUUCUUUUGAUAUUUGGACUUCUUGAUCAAGCUAAGAUCUAUACAAAAAUAGACCUACGAAGAACAUACAAUCUGGUCCACAUUAAAGAAGGAGAUGAAUAAAAGACUACAUUUUGAACAAGAUAUGGACACUUUGAUUAUAAUAUCAUGCCUUUUGGACUCAUGAAUGCACUAGAUGCUUUCCAAUAUCUUAUGAAUAAUUUUUUUUUGUGAGUUUCUAGAUGAUUUUACUGUCUGUUACUUAAAUGACAUUUUAAUCUACUUUAAGAAUAUAGAAGAAUAUGAAAUUCAUGUUUAUUAUAUGUUACAAAAACUUAGAGAUGUGAAAUUGUAUGCCAAGAUGGAAAAGUGUAUAUUCCACCCUAUCCAAGUUGACUUCUUAGGAUACAUCAUUUCAAACAAUGGUUUAAGAAUAGAUCCUAAAAAAGUUCAGACAAUCAUGGAUUAGAAGAUUUCAAUAAUAAUAAAAGAUGUACAAUGUUUUUUGAAAUUUGCCAAUUACUAUCGGAUCUUCAUCAAGAACUUUUUUUAAGUUGUAGCACCACUUAUAUACUCAACUUAUAAAAAAAAGCUCGAAUGGAAUAAAGAAGCGCAAACAUCAUUUGAAGUUUUGAAGAAAACUUUUAUUUUUGCACCAAUCCUAUAUCGCGUCGAUUUUUAUAUAAUAUUUUUUAUGGAGACAGAUGCAUUUGACUUUGCUUCAAACCUUCUUUUUUAUGAUAUUAAAAAAAAUUCUUCUAAGUAUCAAGAUACUUCUAAAUUUGAAUUUAAGGAGAACCUACUCUAUUUUGAAAGACGCUUAUAUGUUCCAAAAGAAGAGACAUAAUUAGGUGCUCUUGAAGCUCAUCAUAAUUUCCCUAUAGUAGGACAUUUUUGGAUAUAAUAAGACUUUGGAGCUUAUAUCUAGAGAUUUUUGGUGGCCUCAAAUGUAGAAGGCUAUUAAAAAAUUUGUAUAGAUAUGUGAUGCUUGUUCAAGAUAAAAAAUUCCUUCUCAUCAACCUUAUGGACUCUUUUAACAACCAUGAUCUUUUAACAAUCACGGAUCUUCUAAUUUCAAGUUCAUAUGAUUCCAUAUUCGUGAUUGUAGAUCGUUUCACCAAGAUGGCACAUUUUGUACCAUGUACAAAAUCUUUCAUAAGUGAAAGAACUGCUAAAUUUUUCGUUGAUAACAUCUAUUGCUAUGAUGGAUUAUCAAGGGAUAUUAUAUCAGACAGAUGAACAUAGUUUUUAUCGAGAUUUUAGAGAAUUCUUUUCAAGAUAUUGAAGGUGGAUAUAAAACUAUCUUCAACUUUCUACCUUCAAGCUGAUGGACAAAUAGAAUGGAUAAAUCAAAUUUUAGAGCAAUAUUUGAGGUGUACCAUCAAUUAUGAACAAGAUGAUUGGACAACUCUUUUAUAAUUGGUAAAGUUUGCUUAUAAUAAUUCAAUACAUUCUUCUACUCAAUAAAUAUCUUUCUUUGCCAAUUAUGGUUAUCAUCCAUGAUUUGACAUUUUUGACUUUUUAAAAGUUGAUAAUCUUGCAAUAAAGGAUGUGGCAAAUCAAUUGUUAAAGCUACAUGCAACAAUGAAGGCACAAUUAAAAGAAGCUCAAGAACGACAAAAAGUCAACAUAAUUUUUUAUUAUAAAGAAUAACCUCAAUUCCACGUGGAAGAUAAGGUACAAUUAUUUUGUCGUAAUAUUAAAACUAUUCAUCCUUGUGACAAGCUAGAUUAUCGUAGGCUUAGAGUAUUUUCCAUUUGUGAACAAAUCAAUUCAAUUGCUUAUUGAUUAUAUCUACCAGAAUCUAUGAAAAUCUAUCCUAUAUUCCAUGUAUCUUUAUUUGAGCUAUACAAGACAAUGGAUAUACAAAGAAAGAGACAAAUACCACCACCUCUUAUAGACGUAGACAAUAAUGAAGAAUUUAAGAUGGAAGAAAUCUUAGAUUCAAGGUGGCAUCAAAAUAGGUUAGAAUAUCUAGUACAUUGGCAUGGAUAUGAUAUUAAUGAACACACAUGGGAGCCAUCUAAGAAUCUAAGAAAUACAUCAGCUAAAAUUAAAGCUUUUUAUCAAUAACAUCCAUCAAAAGUAAGAUGAAGAGUUAAAGAAUUCUUUGCUAUAAAGCAAAGUAAGCCCAAUGGAGAUUUCAUUCUAUCUUGUAUCAUUGUUUCUUUGAAUUUUUUAGUACUUAGGAAAUAGAGAAUCAACAACCAACACAUUCAAUUCAAGAGCUAUUAUUUGUUGAGCUACCAGACGAGAUAUUGCAACUAUCACAACCUUCAAGAUGACAAAAUCAAGAUGAAGACCCUCAAGAAUGACAUGUUCUUCUUCAAAUAGAUGGCAAGAUAUAAUGCAUUUGGUACCAUGACCUUUGAAGGGACUCCCAGUGUUUAGUGAUACUUUUGGAGAUAGGAACCACUCCUAAUGGUAUUACCAAAGUUUUAUUUGAAGGAAGUUAUGAAGGCCUCAAUAAUCAUCAAAUAUCAGGAUAGUCUUUUUACCUUGCUAUGGAACAUUAUUGAUGGUUGAAGGGACCUUUCAACUAUCUUCAAAGUGAACAAAGAUCACAGUAUUUAGUAAAUAUAAUUCAACACAUCUUAGACUUCAUCUACAUGUAAUCACUAUUCUUCAUGGAACUCGUCCUUAAAAGACGGGAUAAUGUCAUGGUGUCGUAAUACAUGAAGUCUUGCUUGAGAAUGCUCCGGGCACCUGGUUGUGGAAGGUAGAAUAGAAAUUGCAAUAACAAAAUCCUAACUAUAAUAGAAUAUUAACUAAAUUCUAAUUAGACCAUAAUAAUACUAGGCAAGCUUUAAUUAAAUUUAAAGAAACUUAAAGAAAUUUCAAAGAAAUAAUAAAAAAUCUUAAAAAAAUAUUAGAAUGAUCACAAAUAUAUCUCAAAUAUAUUUCAAUUCAAUCUUAAUUUAAUCCUAGUUAAAAUCCUAUUAGACUUCAUUUAAAUUUUAUGCCAAAACUAAUUAAAUCUUAAAUCCUAAAUAAAUCCUAAAUCAUAAAUCAAACCCUAAUCAAAUCCUAACCAAAUUCUAAACCAAAUUCUAACUAAACUCUAAAUCAAACUCUAAAUUCUAAACCAAACCCUAACUAAACCCUAAAUCAAACUCUAAAUCCUAAAUGAAACUCUCACCAAAUUCUAAAUCAAAUCCUAAAUCCUAAAUCAAAUCCUAAAUAAAUCCUAAAUCAAAUCCUAAAUAAAUCCUAAAUCAUAUCCUAAACCCUAAAAAAAUCCUAAUCAAAUCCUAAUCUUAAAUCAAACCCUAAAUCUAAAUCAAACCCUAAUCAAACCCUGAAUCCUAAACAAAAUCCCAACCAAACUCUAAACCCUAAAUCAAAUCCUAACCAAAUCCUAAUCUAAAUUCUAAAUCCUAAAUCAAAUCCUAAUCCAAAUCCUAAAUCCUAAAUCAAAUCCUAAUCUAAUUUUAAAUCCUAAACCAAUCUCUAAUCAAAUCCUAGUAAUUCCUAUAACAGAUUUAAACCUCAAUAAUUAAUGAAUAAAUUGUUGAUCUUAACUCAAAUUUUGCAUACUUCUUAAAAACUAAAUUUAAAAUAAUUAUAAUUUUUUUGAAAAGGAUCGGAAUUACCAAAUAGACGAUAACCUCAAAAACGUGCUCGGGUAUUGGUCGGCCUCCUUCUCCAACCUUGAUGCCAAUCUUCUAAAGCCAAUAUCUCUCCUUUAUACCAUUCGAUUAAUCUUAAAAUUCUCAUAUACAUAAAAAAACAAGUGUAAUAUCUUCUCACAUAAGUUUCACUCCAAUCCAACUAGUAAAUUGUAAUAAAUCUUAAAAAUCCUCACUGGACUAAAAAUUCUACUUUCUGAGAUCUUGACUCAUUUAAACCUCAAUAAUCCUCAAUUAAACCAUUAGAUCGAGCUCAAAUUCACAAAACUUGUUGAACACAACUACAACCAUUAAUCCACAAAAUUUUAUUUGUAGAUCUAAUGCAAAACUCUUGAAAUCACCCAAAACGUAAAUCCUAUUUUAUUUCACAAAAUCCAAGUCAUCUAGAACAAACCUUAACUUUGGAAAGCUCUUACAAAGUCAUAAAAACUUCAAAUUUCCCAAAACCAAUGCUCAUAGAAAUCUCAUCUAGUUAAUUAUCAAAUUCUUUCUCUAAUUUGCCAAAGAGUCUUAGAGUCAUUGUUGAGACUCGGUUUUGUGCCUCAAGGUCUAAUUUCGACCCUGGUUCAUAACCGGCCCUCUUUGAGUAUCAACAUCUAGUUUUUCUAAGUAAUUUUUAUUAAAAUUUACUCUUAACUUUCUCCUAAAGAUGUCUAUAUUAUUUAUUUUUCCAAUCUACCUUAUUUUUCUUUAUUUUUGGUUCUACAAAAUAAGUAGAAGCUAUUUUUUCUAAAAGGGAAGCAUUACUACUAAAAGUUUUACUACCUUUCUAUCUUUUAUCCAUAUUUUUCUACUUUUUUUUUAACUUGGUUCUUCUAUAAUAAGAUCCAUAUUAUCAUCUUUCACCAUAUGGUCGUGUUACAACAUGACAACAUGACAACGGAUAUAUAUAUAUAUAUAUAUAUAUAUAUAUAUAUAUUUAUCCUGAUAAUUAUCUAAAUAAUAAGAAUAGGUAGAAGUAAGUCAAAGUAGAUAAAUAUGAUAAUAUCUUGUAGAAAGCUUUCUAGAAGCUUCAUAGAUGCUACUUUGUCUUUAUACAUAUAUAUAGGUGAUUGAUAGGUUGAAAAAUUAGCCAAAAAAGAUGCUACGUAUCAAUAUAUUGACCACUUGUAGUAUAAGUUGGAUAUAUGGCAUACACCUAAGAAACUUACUUUGUAAAUUAGACAUAUGUUCUACAAGUUGGAUGCAUAUUAGAGGUCCUACAUUAUGUCACCACACAUCCUUUAGUUAAGUAAUAUAUAUAGAAGUAAGAAUGAGACCUUGCUCACUCUUAUUAAGUCUUUUCUUGGUUUUUAGUCCAGUUUCAAGAGUCUUAUGUUUUCUAGUCUUUGGCAAUAGCCAUUCCAAUUCUUCCUUGAUUGUACAUAUUUUCUUCUAUUUUUUCACUUUUCUUUUGACACAGGUUCCAUGACUUUAUGCAUCUUCUUUCAGUUUGUGUCCUUGAUAAUAAAACAAUUGGCAAUCAUAUCUAAUAAUAGUAAAAAAUGAGUCUUCAAUAUUAUAUUUACCAAAUUUGAUAUCAAACCUUCUAUUUAUUAUAUUAUCUUGACCAAUAGCUUAUCCAAUAGCAAUAGAACUUAUAUUAAUAGUAAAAAUAAUUGGUCUACCAUAAUCAUAGUCAAUUUGCUUUAACAUUAGUAACGACUUCAAAAUCUCCUUCAAACUAUCUAUGGCCAGUCUUUGAUUUUGUCUACAUAUGAAUUUAGUUUUUUUUUCUAAGAAACUGUAUAGUGACUCAAGUAUAUGAGUAAAGUGUGGAAUCCAAAUUUUUUAGAAGAUACAAGCUCUUAAAAACCUCUUUACUUUAGUGAUGCUAUUACAUACUUGCAUCCUUGCAAUAGCAUCAACCUUCUCAAAGUUAAGUUUUAUAUCAUACUUUUAAUAUAAGUAUCCAACCACCACAAUCUUAUCAACUUUAAAUUUGGAUUUGUCAAUGACAAGAUUAGAUCCACCUCUUCAAGCUUCUUCAAAAUCUUUUUCAUAUCUUCAAUGAGAUUCUUCACAAAUCUUUUACAUCUAUCAAUAUCCAAUGUGAAGUUUCUAGCCUCUUCUUUGUAUUUGUUAAUAGAUAUAUCAUCUAUAAAAAGAAUAGUCUUCUUAAGUAUAAAAUCCCUCAAGAUUUUAUUCAUAAUAUUUUCCAUAUGAGUUAUUAAGUUAGUCACACUUUGAAGCAGAGUAUACAUCCUCAUAAGUUCUAACAAAAUCAUUAUGGUGUCACGGACACAGAAAUACAGACUCGAGAUCUAACAAGAAGUUCAAGAAGAAUUGGCAAGAAGUAGAUUAAUCAGAUGAAUACAAGAACAACACCAAAGAGGUGAGCUAGAGCUCUAAGAGAUGUGUUGUCGAGACUGAAGAACUCUUUAGCCUUGAUUCCAAUUUAUACUCCUAUUUAGGAAGCUUCUCAAGCAACUUCUACUAACUAGGAAGCUUCUAGAAGGUUCCAGAGACUUGCUUCUAGAAGGUUCUAGAAACUUAUCUCUAGAAGGUUCUAAGGACUAUGUCCCUGACAUCUUCUACCAACUAAGAAGCUUCUAGAAGAUUCGAGAGACUUGCUUCUAGAAGAUUCUAGAAACUUGUCUCUAAAAGGUUCUAGAAACUUGUCUCUAGAAGGUUCUAAGGACUAUGUCCCUAACAUCACUCCUUCCUUUAGCUUCGAGGUCUCUGAGAAGUAAUGUUGUUGUUAAUCAGUAUCAAUGCAAGAAAAUGAAGAUCUGUUGCAUAACGUCUGCUGUGAACUCCAACUGUUGUUCACGAGGCAAGUGGUUCAUCGAUCCUUGAAGCUAAUGGUAGUGGCCUACUCCUUCAAUUUCUGACCAAGCAUGAACUUCCAUGUCCUCAUUGUGAAAUUGUCCUGCAAACAUGCAUUCUGGCUGACCAUCAUAAGCAGGCUCGGACUCAAAUACAAUCACCAGUGAUUGGUUACUCGGUAUCCUCCGUCGUCGUCAUGGUGUAGGCAGUUCUUCAUCUCGGGGUCGCCUUCGUGAGCUAGUCGGUUGAGAUAAUCUGACUGGCAUAGUAUCUAUCUCUUGGCUAUCCAUAUCAGAAGACCAAACUAUAGCUACUGAAAAAAAUUCUAUUUUAUCUUGGAGAAAAUAACUACAUCAACUACGAAUUUUGGUGGUGCUCUGCCCCUUCCUUAUAUUCUUAGGUGAGCAAGCUUCAGAAGGAAGCUAUUGUCAAACCUGUUUAGGUUUAUGAGGAUGUUGUUGAUGAAACUCUUGUACCUUUUGUGACGCAUUGGCGAGAUUUUUAGCUGGCUCCUACGUUUGCUCAUUAAUAUCGUAGUCGCACCAAUGAACAAGAUACUCCAACUUGCCCUACCUUUGCCAUGAAUCCAGCACCUUUUCAACCUCGUAUUCCUCGUGGUUCUCAAUCUCAAUACUAGGUGGCGGACAUUGCACUCUUCUAAGAUAAGACGACUCUCGAUAAGACUCCAACAUAGAAACAUGAAAGACUGGAUGUACCUUCAUAGAAGCCGGUAAUUCCAGACGGUAUGCCACUAGAUUGAUUUGCUUCUGGAUGAUAGAUGGUCCCAAUCUUUGAUAGUCCAACUUAUCACAUGGUCGCUUGACCUUGAUAUUUCGUCAAAGAAGCCAUGCUUUAUCUCCAAUUUUGAAAGUAGGUGCUUGAUUCCGAAAUCUAUCUGCAGACGCCUUGUAGGAUUCUUGAGCAGAUUGUAAUUGAAGCUUCAACGUAUUUUGAAGCUGUGACAGUUGUUUCACAAAUCCUUCAACUACUGAAUUGUUAUUUGUUGACGGACUCAAUAAAUCAAGCUUCGGAUGAUACCCAUAGUUGAAAAAGAAUGGUGUAUAUUGAAACGACGCAUGGAGGGUGUUGUUAUAUGCAAACUCAGCUAGCGACAAAUAUGUGGUCCAAUCGUCUUAUCAAUAGUUGAUGCUGCAUUGUAAGUAUUAUUCCAAGACUUAGUUCAUCCGUUCCGUUUGGCCGUCAAUUUCAGGAUGAAAAGCCGAAGAAAGCUUGAUAUCCAUAUUCAGUAUCUCAAAGAGAGAUCUCCAAAACUUUGAUACGAAUUAGGUUCCUCGAUCUGAUACGAUAUCAUAUAGUAGUCCAUGAUAUCGAUACAUAUUAUCGAGAAAGAGCCUUGCUGUGACUUCACUGGACGAUGUCUUCUUGCAAGGGAUAAAGUGUGCCAUCUUUGUAAGCCGAUCUAUCACGACAAAGAUGCUGUCAAAUGAAUUCGAUGAUAGUAGGUCCGUGAUGAAGUCCAUGGAAAUUGAAGACCAUGGUCGACGUGGAAUCGGCAAUGGCUGUAGGAGUCCAUAAGAGUGAUGCCGAGGAUUCUUGUAUCUUAAAUAGAUGUCGUAGGAGAGGACAAAAUCUUUCACAUCCUUUCACAUUUGGGCCACCAAAAAUCUUGAGAAAUAAGCUCCAAGGUCUUGUUGAAUCCAAAAUGUCCCACAGCUGGAAAAUUGUGGCGAGAUUAAAGAACUCGGAGUCGUGCUAAUCCUUUUGGGAUAUAUAACCGCUCCUCAAAGUAUAAAAGAUCUCCCUCCACCUUGAACUUGUUGUCAUUGGCACGCUCCUUAAUAUCAAUGGCUACUGAAUCUUCAAUGGUCACGGCACGUACCUGAUUCAGGAAGUUAGCAUCAACUAGCAUAAUAGUAGCACAAAGCUGAAAUUGCUCUGGCUUCAACAAUGUUGUACAUUGUUGAUCAAACGUUACUUCUCCAGCCUUUGGUAUAAGAUACGAUCUCCUCGAUAAGGCAUCAGAUAGUCCUUGCUGCUUUCUAGAACGAUAAGUGAUAACAAAAUCAAACCUAGAUAGCAACAUACUCCACCGAGCUUGACGUUGAUUUAGAACUCAAGCCGACAUGAAAUACUCCAAUUUCUUGUAAUCUGUGUAUACGGUGUCGUGUUGUGGUUCGGCUACUAUAUGAAAAUAAUGUAAUUAUGUACUUAAUAUAUAAUUUAUUAAGUAACAUGGUGAGAGCCAUAUUAGUAGAUUUUAGUUGAUUGUAGAAUAUAAUUUGAUUAUUACUUUGAGAAGAGGUUGUUUAAAAAGAUUACUAUAGAAUUUGUAUAAUUUUAAUUUCUUUUUGAUAGUGGCUUUUAAGAUUGGUUUUGGUUGAUAGUAACUUCUAAAUAUUUAGAGUCACCUUUGUUAGACAUUGGUGACAUUUGAAAACUUAUUUUGGUUCUUUUAUUUGGUGUUUAGAGCAUAUAUUAUGUAAAUCUUAUAAGAAAAAGGAUUGAAGAAGGAUUUUGGUAGCAAAGGAAGUAAUUAGGGCACCAAUAUAGAUGAAUGGAGAUGAAAAAUAAAAAUCUCUAUUCCUAUUGGUCAAAAAUCAUGACCAAUGGGCUUUGAGGAGGCUGCCCGAGGCCUUAUUAGGGAUUCGGGUUAGUUUCUCGAGAGGAUUCGAACUUUGAAGACUAAGGUCAAAAGGUUUAGAUUUAUGAUUAAGAUUUUGGUGCAAGUUUUGUGUCAUUUGGGGUUUUUAUGAAGAAGUUAUAGAUGCUCAAAGUUAAGGUGUUAGUUUUGGACCAACUGUCAUUCUCUUGGACAUAACGCACGCGUACAGAUGAAAAUUGAGGAUCGGCGAUAGCGACUAGAGAGAGCACUUUUGCGGCUAUACUUUUCACAUACUGCUAAUUGGAUUCCAAGUUGGAAUGUAGGAGUUAAUGGAUUUUAAAAUCAGCACAUGCAAUCUAAGGGUAGUAAGUAAACGGAUUUACUACUAUUUGUCUCUUGAGCUAUAUCUUGAACAAUUUUGUGAGAUUUUGGCCAAAAUUUCAAUGAAUGUGUAAUUUCAUGUUAGUAAACUUUGUGCAUAAGUUUUAUGACAUUUGGCAUUCGAGUUUUUGAGAUAUAAGGAAAAUAGUUUUCGGGUGCUUGUAAAUUAGGGUUUGGAGUGUCUGCUUGGAUUUCUUAGAUGCCAAAAGAUCGGAAGUGAAUUUGUGGUGGGUUUUUUUUGUGCUACAAGUUAAGGGAUAAUUAUACCUAUAUUCUAAAUUUGAAAAAAACUGAACGGUUAGAUCAAUAGUUAUGAUUUUCUAAAGUUCGGGGCGAAAAAAACCCUUCGCGGAAAAAAUAUGUUUUGAAGGGAUUUUGUUUUAUUUGGGGUUUUAUACAAAAAUAAAGGAGUUUUGGAAGCCAAAAAAAGAAUCUUAUAAAGGUUUAAGGUACACCCGCUAUAGCUAGAUACCCAGUGUAUUCACAAAUAGCAAAUCAUGCCAUACGGCAAUAGUCACUGGGUGUACAGCUCCUUUAAGAAAGUGAGGCCAUUCUUGGAAACAAUCGACUAUAACAAGAAGUUCCUUAUCGUGGAUCUCAUAAUUGAUUUCAGUAGCAGAGAACUUUCGAGAAUAGAAUACAACCAGAUGGAGCUUCUUGUCUUCUCCCAUUUGUGAAAGUACAGCUUCUAAAGCAAAAUCCGAAGCAUCAGUUUCUAAAUAAAAGGCCUUUGUAAAGUCUAGAUGUACCAAGAUUGGAGCCGUAGUAAAUACGGUCUUUAGGUCUUGAAACGCCUUCUCUGCUAAAGGUCCCCAUUCCAGCUUAUCUUUGCAUGUCAACCGAGUGAGAGGAGCAGCAACUUGAGGGUAAUUCUUGAUGAAGAUCCGAUAGAAGUUGGCAAAACCAAGAAAGCAUUGUACGUCUCUAACCGUCUUCGGAACCUCCCAAGACACGAUUGCUUCCACCUUCUUAGGGUCCAUCUUUAAGCCUUCCAUAGUCGCAAUGAACCCCAGAAACUCCAUCUCUAUUUGGUGAAAUAAACACUUCUCCAACUUGGCAUAUAGUCCUCGCUCGCGUAGUUUCUCCAAGACCAAACGAACGUGCUUUUCAUGCUCUUCCUCGUUUUUGGAAAAUAUCAAAAUAUCAUCCAAAUAGAUGACAACAAAAUCAUCAAGGUGUCUCGAAAAAUAUCAUUUAUCAUAUGUUGAAAGACCGCUGGAGCAUAGGUAAGACCAAAGGGCAUGACAUUAUACUCAAAAUGGCCAUACCUUGUACGGAACGCUAUCUUCCACUCAUCUCCUUCCUUGAUUCGUACGAGGUUGUAAGCUCCCAUUAGAUCAAUUUUUGUAAAGAUCCUUACACGUCCAAGUUGUUCUAAGAGACCAGAAAUCAAGGAUAACGGAUAAUGAUUCUUCUUUGUUACCUUGUUGAGGCCUCGAUAGUCCACGCACAUCCGCAACAAGCCAUCUUUCUUCUUCACAAAUAAGAUGGAUGCUCCAACUGACGAUUUUGAAUGACGGAUGAAGUUCUUAGCUAAUUUCUCGUCGAUGUACUUCCGCAACUCCACCAUCUCCGUCUGCAAUAGAUUGUAGAUUAGGCCAAAAGGCAGUUGUGCUCCUUCUUGCAAGUCUAUGGCGCAAUCAUAUGGUUGGUGUUCUGGUAGCAUGUCGGCAUUCUUUUUUUGAAACACGUCUUUAAAAUCCUUAGAUUACUCAGGUAUACUUGUUGUUAAGAUCUUCUCCCUAGUAGUUGGAGCCGUAUAAAUGACAAACGGUGUGCCUUCCUUGGACGAUCUUAUAAACGCUCUUGCUCCAAUGAAUAAGGAUUUCUCUAUUCGAGGUUUUCUACUAGGCUUGUUCUUGGGUGGUUUUGUGGCAAAGGUCAUCUUCUGCAACCUCCAAUCUAUGGAUGGGUUAUACUUUUCCAACCAAGAAAGACCAAGAAUAACAGGAUUUGAUGGGGUUCUAAUAAUAUUGAAAAUAAUAUGACUACUAUAGCCCUUAAACGUCACUUCUAUAGGUUCUGAUUCAUGGGUGACACUACUAGACAAUAAAGGUCGCCCAUCUAUGACCUCAACGUGAACAGGUUUGGAUUUUUGUACUAAAGGGAUCUUAUGACACUUUGUAAAUUCUUCGUCUAAGAAACACGCAGAUGCUCCUGAAUCUAAUAAUACUAAGGUUCUCAGUUUCUAAGGGCCGAUUAGCAAAGGGAUUGUAAAGCAAAAGGUAGGUUGAGCGGAAAGAAAAGAACCUAGUUGUUGUUGCGAUAUUUCACUGUCCAGUCGCACGAUUCCUAUUGUGGCUGGGCAUCCUCGUUUUCCUGAACAAAUGUACCCCUAGUCCUGACAAUACAUCGAUUUUGCUUCUUGGAACAGUUUCCAACUUUCUGGCCUUCUUCACCGCAAUACAAGCAUAGACCUUCUUCCAUACGCCGCUUUUUUUCUUCUAGAGUAAGAGAUUUGACAUGUACCGCAUCAAUUUGUAUGUCUUCUACCUCUGAAUGUGAAUUCACGCUGCUCGCCGACAUAGUUGGGGCGUAGCGAACCAUAUGUUGUCUUGAACGUUGAUCUUGACGGCGUUGAAAUAGGCGAUUAUCGCACUUCACAGCUUAGCUAAUAGCUUCGUUGAGCGUUUGUGGAUGAAGAAGAGUUAACAGCAAAUCCUUCACAUCAUCCUUUAAACCCUAAUAGAAUUGACUCAUCAACGCUUCUUCGUCCCAAUUGAUGUCGCAUGCUAAUUACCUGAAGUCCGAUGCAUUGACUGAUGUAGAGCGCAUCUCUUGUCGUAGUGACCGGACCUUUGUUGUAGCCCAUCGAACCUUGUCGUGUUCACCAAAUGCUUCCGCAAACGCCUCCAAAAAGGUUUCAAAGUUGUUUAGUAUGGACGAUCGUUUCUCAAACAAAGAAGUAAACCAUGAUAGAGCUUGCCCUGUAAGUAAGGUUCCAACAAGUCCAACACGUGACUCCUCCAUUGGAUAGCGUUCGAACUGUAAAACUGUUAUCAACUUGAUUUGAUUGACGAAUCCUUGAAACUUGGAAUGCGUACCAUUGAACUUGUCCGGAAGGCUAACUUGGGGCUCUUUAUGUUGUAGAACUAGUGGUGUCGUGUUGUAACACGAGUAUACCAUGAAAAUAUAAAGAAAGGGGACUUUUAUUAAUGUUCAGUUACCUCGAAUAUUAGGAGCAACGACCGACUCCAAUGCAAAUACUGAGAGGCCAGGGUCAGUCAUCCCAUUACAGUCAACCGAGGCAUACUGAAAUGCUCCGUUUGAUUCCAAUAACGGGAGUCAGCAAAAAAGGAAAAGGACCAAUUCAACGACGGGUGAGCCUAGUUCAAAGAGCCAAUUGGAUCCAAUUUCAUGACAUCCAAUCCAGGUCAUACUACGGGCUUCUUACCCAAUAUGAGACCUGAAUUGAUCGGGCAACCCAAUGCGGUCUAAUUUCGGGAACAUCCAGGUUACUACGGGCCUCUUAGCCAAUAUUAGACAUGAAUUGGUCGGACGACUCAAUGCGGUCCCGAUUACGAGUUUUCUAAUUCCAUUUCAGGGUGUUCCGUCCUUUGUGCCGUUUCGAAAACGUCAUUUUGGUAAAAGAAUCUCUUAAAGGUAAAAACGGAAGAGAAAGCUCUAACGGCGAGAGCCAAUUUCGGAUCCAAGACGAAAGAAUGAAGAAAUUUUGAGGCUAGGAUUUGAAAGAGGAGAGAAUUAGGGUUAAAGGGGAGAGCGAGCUUCAUGCUUCAGGAAGGAAAAAAAAAGACAGAGAAUUGGGGAUUUUUUUUUUCAUAGGGUUUUGGGAAGACUGAGGCAAUCGUUGCUGAAGUCAGUGUUGUAUUGGUGAAUCGGGAUUUUAAUGAAGUGGGUGUGAUUACUCUUAACUAUUUUAUGAAAUCAAAUUACGUCUAUGAUGAAGAAUUAAAAAGGUGUCUAUAGGAUUGAGUAUGUGGAGUGAAUGAAAUUUUUUGGAUUAAUCUAACGAGACAGUCAGUGGAUACAAGAUCGUGAGUAUAAAGCAAUAUCGAAGAUUAGCAGUUUGGGUUGUUCGGGGUUCUCUGUAACGUCUAGAGACCUACCGGCUGGGACAAAAAAGGAUUUCGGCGAGCAGUCGAAGGAAAUCCGUAUAGAUUUACGGUGUAUUCUUGUAGUUGUUUAUAUUCCAACAGUCAAAAAUCGAUAGACUGCUUGAAUAUUAGUGAAUCUCCAUACUACCUUCUACAGCCAAAUGCCCGAUGCGUUCUCAAGCAGGAAAGCACGUAAUACGACAGCGGUGCUUGUCGAACCUGAUGCAAAGUUGCUUCUCCAAGUGCAGAAGUUUGAAGCUGGUGCAACCUAGAUUGUGCCAUCCCAGAUGCUCCAUCAUUAUGAAGCCUUGCUACGACUCUUUCAAUCUCUACAAUUCUUUGUGAUAACGUAGCAAGGGCAUUCAUGAUAGCAUCCAACUUGGACUCUGAACUUUCUGUCAUAUUAAUGUCUUGGCCUCUGGCCAUUCUAAGAGAAGGACAGAAAUGACUCUACAAGAAGAUAAUAUUGGUUUAGAGGAGGGUACUCCGCAACCUCUAAAAUGCCUUAAGAGCUUCAAGAAAAGAGGUAAUCCACUCUCUCCAAGAAGAAUAAGACUUCAAUAUUGUAACAAAAGAAGUAUUAGUUUAGAGAAGGGUAAUCCGCAACCUCUAAAAUGCUAGUACACUUCCAAGCAGAGGGAUAAUCCACACUCUAACGAGGAAGAAACUAGCUCUGAUAUCUGAGGUGAAUGAAGUCUCGACAAACUGUCACAAACAAAAAAAUACAGACUCGAGAUCUAACAAGAAGUUCAAGAAGAACUGGCAAGAAUUAGAUUAAUCAGAUGAAUAUAAGAACAACACCAGAGAGGUGAGCUAGAGCUCCAAGAGAUGUGUUGUCGAGACUGAAGAACUCUUCAGCCUCGAUUCCAAUAUAUACUCCUAUUUAGAAAGCUUCUCAAGCAACUUCUACCAACUAGGAAGCUUCUAAAAGGUUCCAGAGACUUGUUUCUAGAAGGUUCUAGAAACUUAUCUCUAGAAGGUUCUAAGGACUAUGUCCCUAACAUCUUCUACUAACUAAGAAGCUUCUAGAAGGUUCCAGAGACUUGCUUCUAGAAGGUUCUAGAAACUUGUCUCUAGAAGGUUCUAAGGACUAUGUCCUUAAUAUAUGGUUGUCAGAUCUCUAUUUUUUGAUGCAAGUUGAAACUAAUUAUAAUCUAAAUAAAGAUCUUUAAUAGAAUCAAUGGUAUAUCUUAUAAAAGCCUUAGAAAUUUUAUCCACAAUUGGUCCCAAUUCUUUAUAUUUGAUUGUUAUUUUAUUGACUAGUUGCAUAUCUUCAAUAAACCUCAAAGCUCCAGACUUCUUUUAUACUAUGAAUGAUCAAUUAGAGUAUGGAACUAAAGAUAGUUUAAAUAUUCUCAUUUGCAUCUUUUCUUUCAAUAAACUCAUCAACUUAAGUAGUAAGGCUUUUGGCAUAGGAAUUGGCUUCAAAUUUUAAGAUAUAUGUGAAAUAGUAAAAAUGACCAUUGAUAUAAUAACCUUUGGAUUAACAAAUCCAAUUUCAUUUGGUGAAGAGGCAAAAGCCUUAUCAUGCUUGGAGAUCAUUUCUAAAAAUCUUUUCUUCUUAGGUUCUUUGAAAAACUCAUCUCCUCUAAUCUUUAGUAUGGCCAAUAUCUCUUCCAUGAAAUUAUAGCUAAUUCUUCUUAUCUCCCUCAAUCUAAGUUUUUUUUUAUUUUUUUUGAUAUGAUUAUUAAUCAUAGAAAUUAUUAUUAAUAAAAUAAAAAAAUUAUAUAGAAAAAUAAGAAAAAAAAUAAAAGAAGAAAAAGAAAUAAAAUUUGGUAUAAAAAAACAACUAAUAGAAGCAAGUAUAAAUAAGGUUAGAAAAAAAUAAGAUUGUUUGAAAAGCCAAAGAGAUUAGCCGUCAAUAUGUUUAAAAGACAAGAUAAUUAAGUUCAUAAAAUUUAUAGAAUUAAACAAAGGUGAAUUAAUAACGAUGAGUGAUGUUCUUGAAUAGAACUUAUCAACUUUAUCCCAAGUAUUAAUAACCAUAAAUAAAGAUAAUAUGGAAUAAUUUUAUAUUGUACACCAAAUCAAAAUUAUUGAAUAGAUAGAGCAAAAAAAGAUAGAAAUAAUAUCUAACAUUAGUCAUGGAAAAAAAAAAAAAAAAAAAAAAAAAAAAAGAUAUAAUUUGAAGAGAGAUCUAUAUCAAAGAAUGUUGUAUGAAAGAAAAUUGUAGCAAUCAAGAAAUUAUAAAACCAUUAAAAAAAUCAAAUAUAAUAUUAGGUAAUGAAUCAACUACAAAGGAGUAAUCUUGAGUAUUAUUAUUACCAUCAGAAUGGACAUAUUAUAGUAGAUUGUCUAUUAUAGCUUAAAGACCAAAAAGAAGCUAAAGAGGCACAAACAUAAGAAGAACCAGUUAUAGCCACAAACGUAAUAAGUUCAAAAAUUUAUAUAAUAACUUGUACUCAAUGAAAUAAAAAAGAAACUAAAAGUGUAGUAAUAAGUAGUAGUAGUAGUGAUAAAGAUGAGAAUGACAAAAAUUUAAACCAAUUUGAAUUUAUCAACUCAAAUUAAAAAAAUAUGAUAAGAAUGGAUCUAUAAAAGAAGAAUAUAUAAAGAAGUAACUAAAGAAGUAUAACAAUUACAAGAGGAGUUUGAAAAAAAUUUAAUUUUGGAAGAAAAUUCAUUUAAAGAUGAUAAGAAAAAAUUAUUAAGUAAGAAUGUUGAAGAUAGAGGAGUUAUAAAAGAAGAAAAGAUUGAAAAAAUAAUUGGAGAUGUAUUUCAAUGAAAAAAAGCCAAUAUAUCUAUAAAACAAUUAUUGGAGUUAGUUCCAUAUUAUAAAAAAAAGGUGAUGGAAGUAUUUUUUCUUCAGAGUAAUUUUAAACCAAGUGUAUCAGAAGCUUAUAUUGUAAGUCAAGAUUAUGAUACAAAAAUACCUAUGAUAAUUUUUAAAAUUAAAUAUCAAAUUAAAGAAGAUGUAUUAUUAAACAGAGAUUAAGGAAUAAAUAUUAUGAAAAAUAAAUUAUAUAAAAAGUUGGAUUAUAAUAAGAUCAAACUAUUCAAUUGACCUCCAAGUUUGUACAUACAUUCAUAAGUAGCACAUCAACACAUUAUUCAAAUUUCAUCCAUACACACCACAAAACUCAAAGAACUCUCAAAAUUAUAAAUGUAUUUUUAUUUUUUAAAAUUUAAAUCAACUAAAAAUAUUACUAACUUUAAAAAUCUUUUAAAAAUUUAAUAUUGAUUCAAUUGAUAUAAAAUUAAUGUAUAAAAAUCACUUCUCAAGUCAAUUCUCAAAUUCUACUCUUUAAUCUACUAAAGAACCUUGGAAUCACUAUAGGUGCAUGGUUUUGUGCCUUGGGAUUUGAUUUUGACCUAAGUUGACAACCAAUCCUCUCUAGAUAGCAAUUCUUAGCUUCUUGAGGUAAAUUUUUAUUAAAAUAUAUUCUUAAUUCUCUCUUACAUAUAUCUUUAUUAUUUAAUUUUCCAAUCUACUUUGUUUUGUCUUAUUUAUGGUUCUAUAAAGUAAAUAAAAGCUUAUUUUAUAAAAAAGCAAUCUUAGCAUUUUUUUAUUUCAUUAUCUUUUUAAUUAUUAUCUAUAUUUUUAAAAUAAUUUUCUAUAAUAUUUUAAAAUAAGAUCUAUGAUAUAAUCUUUUCUUUUCUCAUUUAUUCAUUAGUCGUGUUAUAUCACAACAGCAGUAUGUAGAAGUGGAAGAUGUAGAGUUGUAAUUGAUAAAGUAAAUUUUAGAAAAAUAAAAGAUAUUACCUCACAUAAAUUACUAAUGAUUAAAAGGCAAAAAAAGGUAAUAGAAAAGUUAUCAAGGUGAUGGCUAGGAUUUAUAGUGAUAGCAAAGUUAAGUAGCGGCUAGGUUAAGUAGAAUCUAGGAUUCAAUUGGAGGAAGUAAGGAUGAAUGAAAAUAAAGUUGAGCUACAAUGGAUGUAAAUUCUACCUAUAAGUAAAGGGUGUUGGAAGUGAGAGGCAUCUUAUUCCACACUUUUCUUGUGUCUAACCUUGCUGAUUUCUACUUACUUGUAUCUUGCUUAUUAUGUUUCUUUAAUAGGUUAUGGGCCCACACACACUUGAUUGUGCUUCCCAAGUAAGUUGAAGUUAUUUGCUGGUUAUUACUCUUGUGUGGAAUAGAUCUUAUGGUAUUUGCUAAUGUUAAGAUUUGUAUGAUCUAAUCUUGUAUUUUGACUUAUGGAAGUUCUGAUUUGGACCUUAUAGAUCCCUAACAUGUGUUUGAAGGUUCUUAAUUCCUAAAAUUGAGUGAUUAAGACCUUAUACAAAGACCUUGAUAGUGUCUUUAGUGUUGUUGAAGUUUUAGUGAGAAAGUGAGUUUUAUGAAUUAAAGAAAAAGAACUUCAUAGUAAGGUUGAUUGGAGUCCAUAUACUUCUUAGAAGCUUUAAAAUUUGAGUCAGGAGUAUUAGGAAUGAAGAAGCACUCAUUUGUUCACAAAAGGGCAUUCUAAGAUUUUGCUAGUGAAAAAUUAUUUUAGUUAUUUUAAGCACAUAGAGACUCUUUUUCUUCAUAUUUUUUGAUAGACCUAUUCUUAGAUAUAGCUUUUAGUGAGGGUAAAGAUUUGAGAGUGAUUGAAAAGUUUAAAGGUGACAUUCUUUAUCAUUGGAAGAUAAAAAUGGAACUUUGGGACAUUGUAGAUAAAAGUGAAGAGCCUCCAAGCAUGCAUGUUGAUGCUAAAGAUAUGAAAGACUUUAUAAGACAUGAAAAGAAGGCUUUUGGUAUGAUUGCUACUAAUUUGGAUGAAGCUAAUUUUUCUCACAUCAACUCUUACAAAGGACUAACACAAGCAUAGAAGACUCUUUAUAACAUAUAUGAGAGCAAGAACUUAUCCAAUAUCAACUUCAUAAGGAGGAAAUUCUUCACUUAUAAGAUGGAAGAAAGUGAUGACCUCAUGGCUUAUGUCAAUAAGGUAAAGGCCCUUGCUAAUCAACUUGCAAUUAUUGACAAGCCUUUAGAAGAGAGUGAUAUUGUCAUGACCUUGCUUAUGAGCCUUUCAAGUCCUACAACUACAUCAUUAUGGCAUUAGAGUCCAUCAAACUAAAAGAGCUCACAAUAGAUUCUAUGACAAUAAGACUUGGUCAUGAAGUGACCAAGAGAAAAAAAAAAUAAAAAUAAAAAAAAAAAUGAGGAUUCGGCUCUCUUUUCAAGACAAGGCAAGGAAAGUUAUUCUAACAAACAUGAAAAUCUAAGAACUUGCUUCAUUUGUGGAAAACCAGGUCAUUUUGCUAAAAAUUAUUAUAAGGCUAAGAAAAAAUGAUAUAAAAAGUACAAACAAUGCUUGUGAUAAAUAUGGAGGUGAUGAUUAUGUAUUCAUGGCAAGUAUAGGUACUUUCAUCGCUGCCAUAUCCAAGUAGAUUAUUGAUUUGAGUGCCACCAAGUACAUGACUCCAUACAAGUGUUCAUUUGACACUUAUGAAGAAAUUUCAGUAAUAAAUAUACUCAUGGGAGACAAUGGCAUAGUAGAAGCUAUUGAAACAAGCUCUAUUAUAGUAGAGAUAGUUGUGAAAGGCCAAACUAUGAAGAUCAUAUAAAACGACGACUUACAUGUACCAAAGAUGAAGAAAAACCUCCUCUUGGUGAGUAAACUUAUUUUUUGUGGUUGUAAAGUACAAUUUGAUAAGAAUGGAUGUUUUUUGAAGACAUUGGAAGGAGAUGAUGUUGCAAAGAACUUAAGAGAUGAAAAUAUCUACUUCAUCAAGUGUAAGAAGGUGAAUGGAGUUGAAGUAGUGGCAUUUGCUGAAUUUCCUCAAAAUCAAGAUAAAUUUGAUAUUUGGUCAUUUAAAUGCGAAGAGCAUGAAGGAGCUCCAAUCCAUAGUAAGUGGCUUAGAUCUUGGUCAUAUAAGCCACAAAUGGUAUGACACUUGCUUGUGAAGAUUGUAUUCAAGGCAAACAACAAAAGGCUAUAUUUUCAAGUGGAGUUGCAAUACGUAUAACCAAGUUGUUAGAGAUAGUACAUUCUAAUGUUUGUGAACCUAUGAAGAUACCAUUAAUAGGAGGUGUAAGAUACUUUAUUACAUUUAUUGAUGAUUUUUCAAACAAGGUAUGGAUUUUCAUCCUCAAAGCAAAGAGUGAGUGUUUUACAAGGUUUAAAGAGUUUAAGGCAUUUGUAGAGAAGCAAUGUGAGUACAAAAUCAAGAUAUUACAUACGGACAACAAAGGUGAAUAUAUGUCAAAGCAAUUCAAUGAUUUCUUGAAGAUGCAUGGUAUUACAAGACAAACCUCCAUUCUUUAUACUCCACAACAAAAUAGAGUUGCUGAAAGAACAAAUCAAACUAUUGUGAAGAUGGCAAGGAGUAUGCUUCAUGUCCAAUACCUUAGACAGGAAUUUUGGAUGGUAGUAGUGGUAAAUGCAGUGUACACAAGAAAUAAGUGUCCUACAAGUGUACUUAUAUCAAAGACUCCAGAAGAAGCUUAGAGUAAGAAAAAACCUUUUGUUUCUCACAUGAAGACCUUUGGAUGUAUAGUAUAUACAAAGAUACCAAAUUGUAUGAGAUCAAAAUUUGAUAAAAAAGGUACAAAAUGUGUGUUUGUUAGAUAUUAUUAAGGUACAAAAGCUUAUAGGCACAUGUGUUUGGAGACCAAAAAGAUCAUUAAAAGUCGUGAUGUUGAGUUUUUGGAGCACAAGAGUGCUUGUGAGCACUUGGAGAUGUGUCAAUGUGGAAGUAAUAGUAUUUUCAUAGAAACAUCUUCAAAUUCAGCAAAGAAGGAAGAAGAUGAAGACAAUGAUGGUUGUAAAGGUAGAAAUGAAGAUGAAGAGGCAAAGAAGGUAGAGAACAAGGCCUUUAAAAAUGCUAAGAAUAGCAAUGAAGAGUAUGAAGAUGUUGAUGAUGAUGGUAAUGAGGAUUAUCAACCUUUGAGUGAGAAAAGACUAUCUACAAAAGAAAAGAAGGUUGGAGGAGACCAUAGAAUGUAAUAAGUUGAGUCUUCUUCAAAUGAAAGAAGAUAUCCUUUGAGAGAUAGAAAACAAUUUUGUGAAUGGUAGAAGAAUCACAUCUUUCUUCAAGUAAGUGAAGAACAUGCCAAUGUUGUAUUUCUUAUUGAUUUGUUGAGUUUAUAUAAUAAAAUGAAGUCCAUAGAUGCUUUGAAGUGGAAGAAAGCCAUGGAAGAAGAAUAUCAAUCACUCAUGGAUAAUGGAACAUGGGAAUUAACUCAACAUCCACAAAAUCGAGCUUCAAUUAGUUGUAAGUGAGUGUUUAGAAUAAAAAAGGAUGCAAUAGACAAUGUUGUGAGGUAUAAGGCAAGACUGGUUGCCAAAGGCUACUCAUAAGUUAUUGGUACUGAUUUCAAUGAGACAUUUUCUUUCGUGGCCAAAUUCACCACCAUCAGAACCAUUGUGGCAAUUGGGGCAGCAAUAGACAUGGAGAUGCAUCAAAUAGAUGUGAAGACGGAUUUUUUAAAUGAAGAGUUGGAAGAAGACAUCUAUAUGGAUCAACCUCAAGGAUUUAUUGAAGAAGGCAAGCAACACCUUAUUUUUAAGUUGAAGAAAUCCUUGUAUGAAUUCAAGCAAUCACCAAGAACAUAGUGCCAAUGAAUCGACACAUUCUUUGUAAAUAAAGGAUUUAUGAAAAGUGAAGCUGAACAUUCCAUAUGUGAUGCAAUCAAAAGUCUCCUUACUCAUUGUUAUUCUUUAUGUUGAUGAUUUAAUCAUCUUGACCAACAUCUUAAAAAAGAUGAAUUAGUUGAAGACAAAAUUAGCAAAAAAAUUUGAAAUGAGUGAUUUGCGAGAGCUUUAUUAUUACUUAAGAGUGGAGUUUGUGAGAGAUCGAGCUAAGAAAUUCAUUACAUUGAGCUAAAAGAAGUAUAUUGAAGAAGUGUUGAAACGAUUCAACAUAGAGAAGUGCAAGCCUAUUGGAACACCAUUGGAGGCCAAUAUGAAGUUGAUCAAGUUCAUAGAUGAGGAAUUUGCUGAAGUUUAAGAUGAAAUGAAAGAUGUUCCAUAUAAGGCAGCAGUAGACUCACUUAUGUAUGCAAUGGUUGGAACAAGGAUGGAUCUUGCAUAUAUAGUAAGUAUUAUGAGUCAACACAUAUCAAAGAUUGGACCAAUCCAUUGGGCAACCAUUAAGAGGAUCUUGAGGUACUUAAAAGGUGUUUUAAACUUCAAAUUGUGCUUUAGAAGUGAUAAUAUUGCAUUGCAUGGUUAUUGUGAUGCAGAUUGAGAUAGAAAUAUAAAUGAUAGAAGGUCAAUAAUAGAAUAUAUAUUCUUUAUUAGAGUGGGAGCAAUUUCAUGGAAUUACAAGAGACAACCAACAAUUGCAAGGUCUACAAUGGAGGCAUAGUAUAUAGCAGCAAGUCAUUUUGUAAUAGAGGCAAUAUGACUAAGACAAGUUUUAGAAGACAAUGGACUUAUGCAAUUGGAAGCAACUGUAAUGAAGUAUAACAAUCAAGGAUGCCUUGCCUUUGCAAAGAAUCCAAAGUAUCAUUCAAGGACAAAGUACAUUGACAUUCAAUAUUACUUUAUAUGAGAAAAGAUUGAAAUGGGAGUGAUUGACAUGAAGUAUUGUGCAACAAAAGACAUGCUUACUAAUUUGCAUACAAAAGCAUUGGUGAAGGAUAGAUAUUACAAAUUGACAAAGGUAUUAGGUUUAGAAGCCUUUAACCAAUAGCAAAGUGGGAGUGAUAAAGUAAAUAUUGGACAAAUAAAAGAUAUUACCUAAUGUAAGCUGCUAAUGAUUAAAGGGCAACAAAAGAUAAUAGGAAAGUUAUUAAAGUGGUGGCUAGGAUUUAUAGUGGCAGCUAGGUUUAGUGGAAUCUAGGGUUCAGUUGAAUGAAGUAAGGAUGAAUGAAAAUGAAGUUGAACCACAAUGGAUGUAAACUCUACCUAUAAGUAAAGGGUGUUGGAAGUGAAAGGCAUCUCAUUCCACACUUCUCUUAUGUCUAACCUUGUUAUAUGCUCGUAUGAAAAGAGUGUCGUAUCUAUACAAACAAGAGUGUCGUAUCUAUAUGAGCAUACAGUAACGCCAUGUACAGCAGGAAAUCAUAGAUACGACACUCUUGUUUGUUAUAUGAUUUGCAGAGGCACAUCGGAUGAAUCCUGUCAUCUAUAGAUUGGAGGUACAUUGUGUUUCAUCGUGGCAAAGACUUCUUACUUCAAGCAAAUCAAGCAGCGCUGGAAAAGAGGGAUGGUAUUGCUUUGCAUAUUUUUGGAAAUGAACUAGAGGCUUCGAAUUAUAGCCCUCAUGUAGGAGUUAAAGUCGUGGAGGACCCCAGAUGCUAGUGCCUCCUCAUUUUAGAAUCGGCACUGAUCGGAUAAUUUCUUAGAGUUGCUUCCCACGAUGUCCACUUGCCUUAACUGUUGACAGCCAAGUAGGAACAUUGAAAGUGGCCCUGGAAAGAAGAGUUAAGUGGGAAGAUUGAGUAAAUGCUAUUGAAGCUCGCAAUGAAAGAAUACCAGCACGGAGGAGGACAAGUGCACAGAAAGCUGGCAAGAUUUGUUCAAAUUUGAGCUCUGAAAGUACAUCUGAGGUUUAAAAUCCAUGACCCGUAGUGUGAUUUUAAGAUGCUUGUUGAGAAUAUGUAUCCCUGAAAACGUAUGGAACCUGUGAAGGCAUCACUGCCAGAGGCCCAGCAGAGAACGAAAACACUUCAAAAAAAGACUGGGGGAAUGUUAGUUGAUACCACUUUUUUGUCGAGCAAGUUUUUGAGUCGUGGCAUUUGCAAGAACUGUUGUGUUCAUUCUCUGCCAUGCCUUGCAUUAUAGUAAGGAGGAAAUCGGGACGGUGAAAUAUCAGCUUUAUUUCACAGAUAAUAGCAUCCCUACAACGCGAGUUAUAAUUGUCCAUGAUCAUGCGAGCAGUUCCAAACUCAACAUCACUAGUGGUUGUUUUAGACAGAGGAACAUGAAUGGAAAAGAGUAGGAACACAAACAAAUUUGGAUGAUUUAGACGAGGCAGACCCUUGAACUUGAUGGAUUAGAGCAUGAUGAAGAAAACGUAGGGGUGAUAAGAAAUGAAGUGAUUGCAAAAUCCUUCACAAGUAAUCGUAGGCUGUUUUGUGCUGUAGCAAAUACCUCUGGCGGUGAGAGAAUUGCUUAUUGUCGCAUUCGGGAGUAUCAAAACAUUAGCCCCUACUGUCGCACUUAAUUAUCUACUCUUGUUUCAGUUUGUUGGCUCCGUCUCUGGGGGGCAAAAAAUUACUCAUCGACUUGUCACGCAUGGAGGAUUAAUUCGUCUCGACAACACUUUUCUCACUUGAGGUCUACUUAAAUCAUACGUGAUUAUUCUCAUGACAUCAUUUGUUACAUACGUGUUUAACGAUAAUUCAGACAACUCGUAUAUGCGUAACUAAUAAGUUAGGAUUCUCUAUUCGUACUCGUAUUUAUGAGAGCAUUAGCCACAACAGAUAAACAUGAGUAGAGCCUCAUAGAUACAUACUGUCAGGAGAUUCACUCCUAUUGUUGCAUGCCUUCAAUGUUACCGUUAGGGACAUUUAUUGACAGUCGUAAUAACGAAUAUUAAAUGAUAAAUGAUGCUGAAUUAAAUACUGGGUUGGAACAUCAGAAAGCAGAUUAUGUAGGAAGAUUUAGACUAAUCCAUUCAAGCGCGUCCUGAAAAGUAUAAUAUUGUCGGAAUCAGUGUGAAGUACAGAGCAAAAGGCUACUUCGGUGGAAUCAGUUGUGGAUCGAACUGAGGAAUUCUUAGAGAAGAAGAAACUGUAAAUUAUUUGGCAAUCGGCGGGCAAAGUGUUCAAAAAAAGGACUGAGAAACCAGUGUUUGCGUCUGUAGUGAUGACGAUGAGGAUGACUUGAGCAUUGAUGAUUGAAAUGAAGAGUGUUGUGAUGAGGAAGGCAAUGAAUUUGCAAGAAAGAAGGAAGCGUUGUGACAUGAGGAAUGCAUGAGAAGCUUGUGACUUGUCUUUUCCACUGGGAGUACUGUUCGGAUGGAUUUGUACGCUGAUGGGGUGCAGACUGAAAGCAAUGUCGGUGUAACAAAGGCGCAGGCCUGCACCAUUUCAGAGAAAGGGGAUCACAAAUUCCACUGUACCAAGAGACAUUGAAUAUUCUCAAGUUAUCGAAUCCACCCCAGGAUCAUAACAGCGAAACAUUGAAAGCUUUAGUGCGUCAUGCUUGCUGUAGGAAAGGAAGCGAAUAGGUCUCUCUUCAAAACAUUGCUGAAUACAAAAUGUUCAAAAUGUUAAUAGAAAAGGUGAAUAUGUGCACAAGACAAAUAGUUUUCAAGGCAGAAAAGUUGCUUCUAUGAUAUAUAUUUUUUUAAUGAGACCCCUAUAUUCCUUUCCCAAUUUUUUCUUUGACCACUUGUUCUUCAAGAGUUCAAAGAUUAAGGAUUCGUUACAGUGCUAUGUAACGUCCAAAAUCAAAAUGCAAGUCACUUCCAUGUCAGUUUGAUUUCCAGUGACUCACACUGCACAAUCACAACGUCGGACCAACUACUAGAUCCGACACACAAAUACUACACGGACGUCAUGGUAGAGCGAUGUGAGCAAUGGAACCUAGAAGAGUAUUUCGUCAGAGGACUGUGCAGCUAUAAAGGGCCACGCUGAUAAAGGUUACCAGCAGUAUCGCCAUCAUUUCCUCUCAUUGAGCUUCUUCUGUGCAUGGGCGACCAUUCAACACCUGGAAACCAUCGCUUCCUACUGUAACAAAGGAACUGGAAUGUCUCACACACACGAAGACAACGCCUCCCUGUUCAAGAUCACCACCGUCUCUCACAACCCAUCCUAUCCCAUCCCAUCCUUGCCUUCUGUGAAGCAUGUUGCAGAGCCCAGUGAAACUCUCCCACGUCCUUCCACCUCCAUUCUCGACAUUGAUCACACUCUGAUCGCCAAGUAGUUAGCAUGCACGAAAACUGCCCUUUGGUACUGACACAACCCAAUCUUUCAUCAUCUCGAAGAUGUAGCUUUACUGCAACCAAGACGGACAUAGACUUCAGAUAAAGCUGCCCAACCUUGAGAACUACGACUUCCUUACUCCACGACAAUGCGAAUCUGGUCCAUGAUAAAAAAAUAAAAAAAAAAGGAUGUCCACAUUCACUGCAAGGCAAGGAAGCAUGAGUAAUUCCAGGCUGACAGAGUAUCACACAUCUUGAUGAUCAAUGCGUUGGGUGCAUGAAUUUCAUCAAAAAAAAUCAUGUCUUUACUCAAGAACAGGAAAGCUGAGCUCAUUCUCAGGACCAACUCUUCCACAAACUUGCAAACACAGUGAGCUUGUUGGAAAAACAUUUUUGGAGGGUGAAUUGGGUUCCAGCAAAAGCAUGGUGGGCCCAUGAGUUGUGUCGAGGCGGCGCCCAGCUGAAAUGUGAUACACACCGAAAGGUUCAAGCUUAUAUUGCUUUACUGGGAAUCCUUGUUUGAGCCUCAAGUUUCAGCAAAUUGAGACAUGUAAUGCCUAAAGGACUUUCCCAAAUGUGUUUUAUGAAGAAAGAUGUUAGUUUGAAAAUAUGUGCGUAGUUGAAUCUCUACGCCCAUGCCUUUAUUUGUGUGUCUAAACUUCACUAAAUGAAUGAAUUUGUUUUUAAAUUUGAUGUUUUAUUAAAAUGAGUAACUGCAUUUGUACAUUCUGAUUAAAGUAAUGGAAUCGAACUUGCUUUUCUGAACUAAUGUUUUUACACAGGUGAUUUGGGAAUGUUUUCUUUUGUUGAAUAACUCUAGCAUAAAACUGAAUUAGAUUUAAAUGGAUAUCAUUUUUUAAAUUUGAAUUUAAUACUCUAGAUAAUAUGAAGAGGAAAAGCUUUAAAUUACUGAUUUCUUUUUGCUACAGUCUGAAGCAAUUUUCUUGCAAUUAGUACCAUAAAACAUCAUCAAUACAUUAUUUUCAUAUAGACUUCAAAAUUUCCAAUAAAUUUUAAUUUUUUUCAUUUUAAUAUGAAAUAACAUGUGCAUCUUUAAAAAGCUAAGUUUUAAAUUCAAAUAAAUUGAAAUAUGUGAUGAUUAUAUGAACAAGUUGCUCAUAAAAUAUUUACCUUAAAAUAUCAAAAUACAAAAUUAAAAGAUUAAAUUUUGAUUUGAUUUGAUUUUAUAUUGUUAGCACCAUGGAUGACAUCAAUAAUUUUUAGUGAAAGCUGAAGGAUGUCGAUAUAGUAAGAAGAUUGAGUAAAUACAUGACAGUAAAAACUAUUAGUAAUUAGUCAUAGCGUUGUUGCAAAUUUAGAAUAGAAGCAUUUAUUACAAAACUUUAAGACAUUAUAAAUAUCCUUAGAAGGAAAUUUUUUAUUUUAUUUUUAUUUUUUUAAAAAUUUGGGUGUUCAAUAAUUAGUAUUAUAAAUAUAUUGAGUUAAUUCAUCAAGAUUUGCAAGUAUUUUGGCUAGCCAAAACUAUAUAUCAUAUUGUACUCAAAUAAAUAAAAGAGAGAGCAUUCGUUUAUUGAAUUUGAGAUACUUAUAAACUUGGUGGUAUUACAUAGAAGUAUCAUAUUAAAAGAAGCAUUUAUAUAUUAGAUAGAUCAACAUAUGACUAUUAUUAUUUCAUAAUGUAUUACUAACCAUCACAAUCCACAAGCAAAUAUACAUAUAAGAUAAUUUUAUAUUAUUUUAUAUAUAUAUAUAUAUAUAUAUAUAUAUAUAUUUUAUAUAAUUUUUUUAUAUUUCAAAAUUAUUCUAAAUAUAAAAAUAAAGAUUUAUUAUAUUAAUAUAUAUUUUUAAAAUAUAAUUAUAGAUAUUAAAUUUAUAAUUUUUUAAGAUUUGUGGUUAUUUCUAGAAUUAUAAAAUAUAAAAAAUUAAAGACCAUUUGAAUUUAUAUAUGGUAAUAUUACAAGUUUUAAAAUACUCUAUGCUUACAUUAAACAAUAAUAUAAUAACUUUAUAAAUUCCAAGUUGAUGUAGUUUAUUACAAGUCAUUGUUAAUGAAUUUGGAUUAUUUUUUAGUUUAUUGAUAAAGUAUAAUCUUGUAAGUUUUGCCUCUUAAGCAUAUGUCAAUAAGACCAAUUCAAUAAGAAUUUCUAAAGUUUAUUGUAUCUUCAAAGGUAAAAAAUGUCUACAUAAAUAAUCUCCAAAAAGAUUAUGUAAGUUUGUUUUUUUACAUUAGUCUUUUAUAAUAUUUUAUUUUAUUUUAUUUUUUUCUAGUAGGAUUUUAAUACAUGAAAAAGAUGAAGUGAGUGUAUUAGAGAGGUUUCUAAAGCCAAAACUAUACCUUAUUAGUACUUUAAACAUAAAAAAUUUGUCAUAUUUAAAAAAAUAUAAGAAACACGAUUUAAUAUUGAAUCAUAUUGCUCAAAUGUUAGAUAUGAAAUAUUAAGCACAAAUUUAGAAGAUUGUAUUGUAGUUGAGUUUAAACAUGUGAAUAUUCAUAAAAGUGUGGAUUCCAAAGAAACUAUACUAAGAUGAUUUAAAAACUUCAAAGAUUGAGCCAUGACAAUACAAAGUAUUUUUUUAAAAAGAAGAUUUAUGAAAUCUCAUUGAAUCUAAAGAGAGUUUUUUUUAUAAAAAAUGCCAAAAAGAAUAAGAGAAUAGGGAUAAAAAAAAAUUACUAAUUCAUUAAGAACUUUUGAUGUCUACUAUAAAUACAAAACAUGCAAAAAGAACUUCCUACAACUCUUUCUUAUUCUAAAUUUGUACCAUACUAUUUUUUACAUUUAAGAUUUUGAAAAAGUCUAAAAUCACUUUAAGAAUAUAUUUUUUACUAACAAUGUAUUUGAUACCAUGAUUGAAACAAGAUUGGAUUCUUUAAGGUGUAAAAUCUUAUUAAUUUUAUAGUAACAAAGAUCUUGACACAAUGUAAGUUCAAGCACAUUAGAACAAAAUUAAAAGUAACUAAACGGAGUGGAACAUGAAAGAUGAGACUAGGUAAAACAGAAUAGAACCAAACAAAACCAAAUAAAACAGAAUAAGGAAAAACAAGCAAACUGUAUUGAGAGAAAGAAUUUGAAGCCAUACUUCAUCAAAUGCUCAAAUGGCCUCAAUUAGUACUAUUUAUAUUUUGUUCAAUAAUCCUUGGAACUUUUCAAAAUAUCUUUAAUGGUAGAUCUACUAAGAUAAUUGCCCUUCUAAAAGACUCUAGAGGUAGAUCCUACUAUAAAAAUUAUCUUAAGCCUUUCUAAAAGAUUCAAUUGUAGAUUCUACAUGAAUCACUACGUUAACUUUAAUUCUAGAAAUUUUCCAAAAAUAACUCCAACUAUAUAUCUCUAUGUGUGAAUAAUACAAAUAUCCUAUCUAUGCCUUGUUAUACCGAAUUUUUGUUUACUAAUGCUGAAUGUCCUUGUUUCACUCUCAAUGGUAUUUCCAAAUGCUUUCCUAACAAUGAAUGAGAUUUUAUGGAGGUUCUUAUAUUGCAUCGUGGAUAAGAUAAUCUUUUUAGAGAACUUUGUACUAAAGUUGGAGAUGUUCAUUGCCAUGACAAAAGUAGCAAUGCUCCAAAAUACUAUCCACUUCAUACUCUUAUUGAUCAUUAAUCAUAUUUGUAGUAGCACUGGUGGUUGAUGUCAAUCUAAAAAGUGCCUUGGUUUAAUAUGAAAUUCCUUGAGUUGCAAAAUAUGGAAGACCAGAUAGAUCCAAAUAUGUGGUAGAAGCUCAAGAUAAUAUGCAACAUCAAAAAUUACUGUAGAAACAUAGAAAGGUCCAAGCCAUUGAAGUACUAGCUUAUGGACUUAAGUUGAUGUAACAAGUGAAAGGUUGGCGUUAGAAAGUAAUACUUUGUCACCUUCAUAUUAUUGGUGGUUAUUCACACACUACUUCUAUCAAUUGUAUGCAGUAAAGAGAUGGUGUUGUAUCUCCUACAAGGUUGUUGUAAGCUAUUGUAUAAACUCCUAUGUUAACAAAUUAUUGGUGUUGAUGGAGCAAUGGAGAGUUGCUGAUAUAAUCAGAUGCUAAUUGGUGUUAAAGAAGAAUGAUGAAUAUCAGUACUUACUUGAAUACUAUCAUUGUAGGUAAACUAUAAAGGCACCAAAUACUCAUUUCAAUCAUUAUGGUGAAUUGCCAUAAAUACUCAUAGCAUAUUUUCUAGAGUUUGAUUUGCACCCUUUAUUUGUCCAUUUGUUUGAGGAUAGAAGGCCAUAGAUAUGACAAGUUAUGAGCCCAGUAGCUUGAAUAAGGUUGCCACAAACUCCUUGUAAAGUAUAGAUUUCAAUUUGAAAUGAUGAUACAAGAUAAUCCAUGGUAAUAAAAGACAAUGUCAAAGAAGAAUCGUGCAAGUAUUAAAGUAUCAAAAUCAAAACAUAUUGUAGCCAAGUAAAGUUGCUUCAAGAAUUGAUUCACAAAAGAUAGCAAUUGUAAUGUGAUUGUGAGGUAUCUAUGGCAAACACGUAAAGAGAUCCAUGAUCACCUACUCUCAACAUACCAUAGAUAGUAGAAUUGGCUACAAUAGCCCAUAAGAUGCCACAUUGCUUGCUUUGUUAUGUUGGCAUGAUUUAUAAGAACACACAAAAGUUCAAAUAUUAUGAUCCAAACCUAUCCAAAAUCAUGUCUUUGAGAUCCAUUCUAGAAUCUUCUCACAUCUUAAGUGUCCAAAUAUUGGGAUGUCAUGUCUUUCUUGAAAUAUGUGCAUCCAAAGUAUAACAUUAUCAAGUACAUAAUUCUAUUUUUUGAAAUAGAGUAAGCUAUCAUUGCUACAAUAAACUUAACAUCACACAUCAUUCAUCUUUAGUUGAUCAAUAACCAUUUUAAAAUAAGCAUUGCAAUAUGUAGCUUCUCUCCAUUUUGCUUCUUUCAAUAAGUGUAAAAUAAUACUACCAAUGAUAAUAACUUUUGCCUUAUCAUUUAAUUUGAAUUUUAAGUCAAAUCUGCUUGAUAAGAUAUCCAACACGAUGUGUUGUUACCCUUGCUUGUAUUCAAGCUGAAUGUUAAAGAGCUAUAAUUACUCUUUUCAACAAUAAUAUUGUGAUUUAAUAUUUUCUAGAUACAAAUCAUAUAAUAGGAAUCAGUGGUUAGUCCAAACAAUUAGUAGCUUUUCCAAUAAAUAGUGCUACUACACCUUUGAGGCAUGUACAAUUGCUAGUUGCUCUUAAUUAUGUACAAAAUAAUUGCCCUCUGUCCUUCUAGGUUUGUGUUAUUCAUAUGCUACAAGUUUAAGGCUCCUAUCAAAGUCAUAUUAAAGAAUUGCAUUAAUAAUAAAGUUGAAAGCAUCUAUAUCAAGUAUACAUAGAAAGUCAAGAUCAUAUAGUUAUAAUAUUGAAGUAGUAAUCAAUGCCUCUUUCAACUCUCUAAAGGCCUUUUUUGUUUUAGUUUCUAUUCAAAUAUAGCAUCUUUCUCCAUUAAGCUUGUCAAUGAAAUAGUAAUGUCUGCAAAUCACUGAAUAAAAUGGUAAUAUUAUCAAAUAAGGCUUAAAAAUGAGUAGACUUUAGAAGCAUCUUUGAGAGUUGGUUAAUCUUCUACUACUUUCAUCUUCUCCUACUCUAUGCAUUGUUCCAUUGAAAAUUCUUACAAUAUGUAAAAAUUAAUUAAAAUAUAUUAUAUCUUGAUAAUUCUAGAUAUGUGUUAAAGUGGUUAGUAGAUUAAAUUAAAAAGAGUUGGUAUAGAAAAUAUAACUUUGUUUCUUUAACUUGUUUUGAUUUUGGCAUAUAAAAAAAUAUGUAUAUAUAUAUACGACGUAAAUAUUUAGUAUGAAGCCUUGGAAGAAGGUGGAAGCGUAAGAAAGAAAAUCCAAACUAGUAGGAGGCUAAUUAGAAGGGAUGAAAGCAAGGCAUAGUCGGAUGAAGGCAAGGAAUGGAGAACUUCAUCUCUAUUGGUCAAAUACCAUGUCCAAUGGGCUUUGAGGAGGCUGCUUGCGACCUUAACAAGGGUUCUAGUAACUUCAAAGGGGGCAUUCAGAAAUUAGAAGCUAUGAUUGCAAGGUUUAGGAUUUGAGCUACAAUUUGUGUAGAAAAAUUAGAGGAUUUGGAGUUAGAAUGAAGAAGUUAUAGUCGUUUGAAGUUAAGGUAUUAAUUUAAGAUAUAUUUUUAUUCUUUUGUAAAUACAAAGAGUUGUACGAUAGUUUUUGAAGAUUGAAAGAUGCAAUUGAAACAGCAAUUUUAAGGCCUAUAUCUUUUACAAAAGAAUUUUUGCUUUUGAAAUUCAUAUAAAGGAGAUAUAAGGAGUUGAAGGCGAUUCUUCCAAAUCAAAGGCAAUAAGUGAGUAGUUUUAUUUAUAGUAAUGUUUGGAGCCAUAACUUGAGUUUUUGGACAAAUUUUUGGCUCAAAUCUUUUGGAGAAUGAAAUAUUUUGUGUUAUAAAGCUAUAUAUAUAUAUAUAUAUAUAUAUAUAUAUAUAGAUAUGUAUAUAAAUUUUGUGGCAUUUGAGCUUUUAUUUUGUAAGAUAUAAAGAAAAUUACAUCAGGGGAUUUAAAGACAAGGAUUUGAAGUAACUAUUAGGGUUUUCAAGAUAUCUCAAGAUCUGCAAUAAAUUUGUAAUUGAAAUUUGUUGUGAAAGUUGAUAAGAAUACAUUAGUACUCUAUAUAAAAUUUGAGUAAGUUUAGAUAGUUGGAUCAAGAAAUAUGAGGUAUUGAAGUUUGAGAAAAUUUUCACAUAAGGUUAUAAAAGGUUUUAGAGGAUUUUAUCAUAUUUUGGAUGUUGUUAGUUACUUGAGGCUUAUGUAUUUGGUGUAAUUGCUUCAAAAGAAAAAUUUUAUAUAUAAAAUUAGGACUUUCCUUAUUUUAAAGCUUUAUUGAGUAAUUAGUGACAGCCAAGAGUUCAGUUUUUUUUUGAGGCAAACUCUCUCUACUCCGACAUAUUGGUGCUUCCACUAAGAGAGCCUUAAGGUGCUAAUUUUUUAAUAAGUUGAAAUGGAAGAUCAAAAUCUAUGGAUUAGAUUAUUAAGAGGAGUUGGUACCUAUGAUUUAGUUAAGAUAUUUGCUCAAUUUAUAGAAGAAAGGCAAUAGGUGUAUGGAGAGGAUAGGAGCACUACUAAAGCCUUACAAGUAGUGGUAGAUAAGGUUGGAAGGUUUGAUGGAAGGAUCAUCACUAAGUUUUUCAAAAUUUAUACAUGUGAAAUAGAAGUGUAUCAAGUUUCAAAAAUGAAGAUGAUUACCACGUUUGAUUUGGCAAUGGUACUGAAAAUCACGGAGAGAAUGUAAGAGUUGCAUGUAGAGGCUAUAUCAUAGAAAAAAUUUGAGGAACUCUUAAAAGAUGAAGUUUUUGAGAAAGAAUGACUAAAGCAAAUUUUUUGGAUUGGAUUAAACAAAGGCCAAGGAAUCAAAUGGCUCCAAAUGAAUUAAUCAAAGAAUUUGAAAUUAAGUUUGGUCAAUUGCCAUGGCAAAAGAGGUAGAUAUUGGAAGCAAAAAAAAUUGGAUUAUUCUUGCAAGCAAUUGAUAAACACUUGGAGGACAAGCUUCUCUUUCAUCUAGUAGUCAAGACAUCUGAGAGUGGUUUUAUAAAUAAUUGAAAGCUUAUAAAAGAGAUAAUGGAGCUUUUGGCUAAAUAAUAAAAGAUUAAGAGUCAUGGUUUAAUAUCAAGAUUGGAGCCAAUGCUUACAACUCAAAAUAUAGUGCCACCUCAAAAAGUAAUAAAGACUAUUAAAGAUAAAAUUCUUAAAGAAUUAAUUAAGAGCAUACAAAAUUUGAAGGUAGAAAUGUCUGAGUUGAAGAAAUUUCAAAUGGUAAGUUCAUCAAAGGUAGUUGUAGGUUAAAAAGGAUUUGUGAAAAGAUGUAUGUCUUGUGAUAAUUCAAACCAUAAGCGUGGUGAAUGUAAUAGCUAUAAGGCUGCAAUCAAGGAUGAUAUUGUAUAUUUUAAGGAUGGUAGGAUAAGACUCACAGGAUUAGAUGACCCUUUGAAGACUAAUUUGAGAAGGGUGGCAUAAAUAAAUUGGUAGAAUAGUAAAUAUCAAAGAAUAAUGCCAUAUAAGGAGAAGGAGCUGAAUCUUAUUCUAUUAUAGUAGAACAAAAACUAGUUAAGGCUAGUUUCUUACCAACUACAGAAGUUAUAAUCAGAGGAGCUAAAGCUAUCAGAAUAAUGACUGGGUGGAAUGAUCCAAUUGAUGCUAUUAAAGCAUAUUAAAGUAUAUUUUUGUAAGAAUAAAUAUAAUGAUGAUCUAUAUGAUGCUAUUGUUGAAGAAAAAAGAGGGUGAGCUAUUCAUGAAGAGGAUGUUAUUGAGCUUGAAAAGAAGAGGAGGUCUCCAAAAAAUAAAGAAGCUUCUAAGGAGGAAAAAUUAUAGAAGAUGCCUUCUUCUACUCAUUUUUGUGGUGCACCAUUGUCAAUAGAGUGGUAGGAGAAGAAAAAAGAGAAGAAAGAAGAUAACACAAGCAAACCUAAAGAUAAAAAUCCUACUUAUAAGUUUCAAUCUGACAUUAAGUCAUCUACAACCAUAAAGAAUAUUUUAGAAGAAAGGAUCUUGGAUGCAAAAAUUGAAUUUAUUCUAAGAGAGGCUCUAAGUGUAGUUAUUGUUCUGGUUGCAUUCAAGCUUCAAUAGACCAAAGCAAUUGAACUAAUAGAAGUGGGUUCGAACACGGGAAAAGAUUGAGAAUAUCAAUUGGAUUUUUUAGUGUCACAAUUGAUUGUACUCUGACUAUCUGAAAUCAAUUAUCAAACUACAAAACACCAAGACUUACUACUUCCAUCUUGAUUCAAUAUAUAAUCCAUUCUACGACAAUCAAUUCAACAAUACUUCUCUCAAUCACAAUUCUUCAUAAGCAAAUAAUAAAAGUAAAGAAAACAAAGAGGUAGUACCAAGCUUACCCCAGCUUAUGACUCUCAUAGUCUGGCUCUCGGCUUACGACUCUCACAGUUUAGCCCUGAUCGCUCUUUCUUCAACUUAUUUAUCCUAUCAAAAAGAUGAUCCGUUGGCGAGCAGAUUCCAAAGGUUAUAACUCUUUGAAUUCUUAACCAUUUAUUCCACUAACAACCUAUUAUUACCAACUAAACUGCCUAACCAUCAAUCUAAUUUUCAAGGUUGUCAAUAAGUAACUAGUAACUUACCACAAAGUUUCUUUACCUAUUCUACAUAGCCUCACUCUUAAUUGUGUAGCGUCCUCGCAAACAUUAUUUAGCCUCAAAUUAUAAAGACGUAGCAAUGUUGGCUUCUUUAGUCAAUGGCGUUGUCUUACCACCCUUUGAAUUGGUGACUUUCUCUUCUUUACAUCUUCGUCAUCUGCCUUAGUGUUCAAGGGUUCUCCAUCCAAAUGCGUGUCACAUCUUCAUUCAACAAACUCAAUUCCUGUAUCUAAGACUCAUGUUGGACAAUUUGGUUGUCACACUUCUCCAACAUCUUUUGCCAUUCUUUUGUCGGUUUCAGAGGUAUCUCCGAAGGUAUUAUCACUGAAACUGGUGUAUUGGUCCAUACUAAAUUAUAGGCCUGCUUUGCUAAUGCUGCUAGUUUAGUCUGCAACAUCGCAACUUCUACCUGCAGCCAUUCUUGCCAUUCUUUUCAAUCAGUCUCCAUCCUUACUUUCUCAGACACCAUGUUUGCCAUCUUCUCCUUAACCACAAAAAAAAAUACGAUGCUUGUCAAGAGCCCCCCUCCUACUUCUUACUAUGGUCCAACCAAUUGGAUUGACUCUCUUUUUUGUAACAAAAAACCCGUCUCAGUGUUGGAGUAGACAGAGUUUGCCUCAAAAAAAUGCUAGGCUUCUAGCUGUCACUAAUUAUUUGAUCAAGCUUGAAAAUAAGGGAAGCUCUAAGUUUAUAUAUAAAUUUUCCCUUUUUUGAGUAAUUACAUCAAAUACAUAAGCCUCAAGUAACCAACAACACCCAAAAUAUUAUAAAAUCCUCUAAAACCUUGUAUAUUCUUAUGUGGAGAUUUUUCCAAACUUCAACACCUUAUAUCUCCUAAUCCGAUUGUUCAAAAAACUCAAAUUUUACAGGAGGUACUGAUGUAUUUUUAUUAACUUCUACAACAAUUUUCAACUGCAAAUUCAUUGCAGAUCUUCAGAUAUCUUGAAAUCCCUAAGAAUCGCUUCAAACCCUUGUCUUUAUACAUCCACAUGCAAUUUUCUUCAUAUCUCACAAAAUAUAAGCUCAAAUGCCACGAAAUUUGUGUAUAUAGCUUCUUAACACAAAAUUUUACAUUCUCCAAAAAUUUUGAGCCAAAAACUUGUCUGAAAACUCAAAUUAUGGCUCCAACAAUUACUACAAACAAACUCGCAUACUUACUGCUUUUGAUUUGGAAGCAUCGCUUUCAACUACUUACAACUCCUUCAUAUGAACUCCAAAAGCAAUAAUUCUUUUGUGAAAGAUAUAGGCCUUGAAAUCACCAAUCCAAUCACAUCUUUUGAUCUUCAAAAGCUGCUGUAAAACUCCUCAUAUUCUCAAAAGAGUAAUGAUAUGUCUUAAAUUAACAUCUUAACUUCAAAUGGCUAUAACUUCUUAAUCUUAACUCCAAAUUCUCUAAUUUUUGUACACAAAUUGUUCUCCAAACCCUAAACUUUACAAUCUUAGCUUGUAAUCUCUGAAUGCCCUCAUUGAAGUCUCUGAAAUUCUUGUUAAGGUCGCGGGCAGCCUCCUCAAAGCCCAUUGGGCAUGGUAUUCGACCAAUAGGGAUGAAGUUUCCCAUUCCUUGCCUUCAUCCGACCAUGUCUUGCUUUCAUCCCUCUCAAUUAGCUUCCUACUAGUUUAGAUUUUCAUCCUUCGGCUUCCACCUUCUUCCAAGGCUUCAUACUAAACAUUUAGGUCUUAUAUUUUUUUUUUAAUGUCAAAAUCAAAACAAGUAUAGAAAAAAAAUAAAGUUUCUUAUACUAACUCUUUUUAAUUUAAUCUACUAGUUAUUUUAACACAAAUCUAGAUUUAUUAACAUAUAAUAUAUUUUAAUUAAUUUUUACAUAUUAUAAGCAUUUAUAGUACGACACCGGAUUUAUGUAUAAUAAAGUUUAAGCCGAUUGCCAUUGAUCCAUGUCGUAAAUUUAGUACCCAUAAAAUCUUCCAAUUGUACUAAACCAUUUGAAAAUCCUUCAAUAACUUGAUAUGGCCUAUGCCAUCAAACUUAAAAUUUUCUUAGAAAAUUUUUAAAUCGACUAUCAUAAAGAAGUAUGAAAUCAUUUGGCAUAAAAGCUUUUAGUCUAAGCUUACUAUCAUAAUAAGUCUUCCUUUGUUUUUGUCUCAUUUCCACUAUCAUUAAUGCAUUGGCUCUAGUUUCAUCCAAUUUUUCCCAUUCUUUAAAACGGUGCCGUUGUCAUAUUACGUGCUAUCUUACUUGAGAAAGCACUGUCGUAAUGUGUGAAGUCUUCCUUGAGAAUGCUCCGAGAACCUAGAUGUAGAAGGAAGAAUAGAAAUUGUAAUAACAAAAUCCUAAUUCUAAUAGAAUACUAACAAUGCUAUAAUUAGACUAUAAUAAUGGUAAACAAACGUAAUCAAAUUCAAAACAAUUCAAAGAAAUUUCAAACAAAUAAUAAAAUUUUUAAAGAAAUAUUAGAAUGAUCACAAAUUUUACUCAAAUAUAUGUCAAUUCAACCUUAAUUUAAUUCUAGUUAAAACCCUAUUGAAUUUCACUCAACUUUAGACCAAACCUAAUUGAAUUUUAAACCCUAAUAAUUCCUAAAUCCUAAGUCAAAUCCUAAACAAAUCUUAAAUUAAACCCUAUUUCAAACCCUAAAUCCUAAACCAAACCUUUAAUCAAAUCCUAACCAAAUCCUAAACCCUAAUCCAAACCCUAAUCCAAACCCUAAUCCAACCCUAAAAUCUAAUCCAAAUCUUAAACCCUAAACCAAACCUUAAAUCAAACCUUAACCAAACCUUAGUCCAAACUCUAAUCCAAACCCUAAAUCAAACCCUAAUCCAAAUCCUAAAUCAAACCCUAACCAAACCCUAAACCCUAAUCCAAACCCUAAUCCAAAUCCUAAGUCCUAAUCCAAAUCCUAAUCCAAAUCCUAAUCCAAAUCCUAAUCCAAAUUAUAAACCGAAUCCUAGCCAAACCCUAAUCCAAAUCCUAGUAAUUCCUAUGACAAAUUUAAACCUCAAUAUCUAAUGAAUAAACCAUUGAUCUCAAUUCAAAUUUGAAUACUUCUUAAAAAUCAAGUUCAAAACAAGCAAAAACAUUUUGAAAAGGAUCGGAGUUACCAAAUUGACGAAAACCUCAAAAAUAUGUUCGGGUGUUAGCCGGCCUCCUUCUCCAAACUUAUUGCCAAAAUUCAAGAGUCAAUUUCUCUUCUUUGCGCCGUUCAAUUGGUUUCAAAUUUCUCAUGGACAUAAGAAAACAAGUCUAAUAUCCUCUCACACAAGUUUUACUCCAGUCCAACUAGUAGAUUGCAUUAAAUCUUAAAAACCCUCACUAGACGUAAAAUUCUACUUUUUGAGACCUUGACUCACUUAAACCUCAAUAUCUCUCAUUUCAACCGUUAGAUCAAGCUCAAAUUUACAACAUGUAUUUAAAACAACUAUAACCAUGAACCAAAAAAAAUUCACUUGUAGAUCUACAACAAAACUCUCGAAAUCACUCAAAACAUAAACCCUAUUUUAUUUCAUAAAAUCCAAGUCAUCCGAAAAAAACUCAACUUUGCAAAGCUCUUACAAAUUCAUAUCAACUCCAAAUCACCCAAAAUCAAUGCCUAUAGAAACCCUAUUCAAUCUUCUCUCAAAUUCCACUCUCCGAACUGCCAAAGAGUCCCCGAGUCGUCGUCGAGACUCAGUUUUGUGCCUCAGGGUCUGAUUUCAACCUUGGUUCAUAACCGGCCCUCUCCGGGUAUCAAUAUCUAGUUUUUCUAAGUAAUUUUUUCCUAGAAUUUAUUCUUAACUUUCUUCUAAAGAUUCCUAUAUCAUUUAUUUUCCCAAUCUACUUUGAUUUGCCUUACUUAUGGUACUACAAAGUAAGUAGAAGUCACCUUUCUAAAAGGCAGCAUUGAUACCUUUUAAUUUUUCUACCCCUUUGGCUAUUAACUAUAUUUCUAAGAUAAUUUGUUCUAAUACUUUGAACUAAGAUCUCUUAAAUUAUAAUAAUCUCCACACUCUUUCACCUAUUAAUCGUAUUACAUCACGACAGCGCCGGAUAUCUGGCUAUAGGAGGUAGUAUGGUGUUUUGCUAGUACUCAAGCAAUCUAUCGUGUUCUUGACUACCUAAAUACAAUCACUAUCGGAUUGCAAUGUCAAAGCUCAAUUCCAAUAUAAAACCCCUACAGAUCCUAUAUAACUUCAAUCUCUUUUGUUAUUUUUAUUUUAUUUUAUUUAUUUUAUAUUUUUUAUUUUAUCUUUAUCGUUAAUUACCUUAAUCCUAGACCAUGAACUUUGACAAGUUGUGAUCCUCAAUCUAUCCCUCUGACUUAUUGUGAAACAUCUAUCACUAGUAUCUCUACAAGCCCUUUCGAAUGCUCAAGAAGUUCCAGUUCAAUCCCGCUUACAGAUUGUGAGGCUAUGCUGCAAUCCGCACAGAUGUCCUUUGGCCGCUCGCCAAUAUUCCUCUUAUCCAUGUUGAUAGGUCCCUAGUUAUCACAGAAACCCUAAACAAAUUCCAACUUGCCAACUCCCAAUACCUCUUUAAACUGUUGGUAGAUAUCUUCUAUCCGUACAAUCAGAUUAACACAACCAUGCAUGCAUUCAGCAUACUCAACCUUCUAGACAACUCUGAAUUUCAACCAUAGAAGUAUCUCCCAUUUCAUCAACAAUCAAGAGUACCAGCCUUUCCUAUCUUACGAAAAAAUCCAGUUUACCAAUACAACACUGACUUUCAGCAAUGAAUGCCUCAGUCUUUCCAAAAUCCUAUGAAGAAAAAAAAAUCCCAAUUCUUUGUCUUUUCCAAGCAUGAAGCUAGCUCUCCGAUCUAAAAACCUUGAUUCUCUCCCAUCCUAACCAUUUCUCGAAUAUUUUUCCUCCUCCUCUCUCAAACCCUAGUCUCUGAAUUUCUUCAAUCUUCCAUCUUGGAUCCGGAAUUGACUCCACCGUCAGAGCUUUCUCCUCUAUUGUUUGUCUUUUUAAAAGGUUCUUUUUCCGGAAACAAUGUUCCCUGAAACUGCACAGAGAACAGGACAACCAGAAACGGAAUCAAAACCCCCGUAAUUGGGACCACAUUGAGUCGCCCGACCAAAUCAGGUCUCAUAUUGGCUAAGAGGCCCGUAGUAAGACUUGGAUGUCCCCAUAAUUGGGUCAAAUUGGUCCUUUGCGUCAGGCUCGCUCAGUCAUCAAUUUAUUCCUUUCGAUUCUAUUGACUUCCACUAUUGGACUCGAACGGAGCAUUUCGUUACUAGUAAGUAUGUCUUGAUCGACUGUGAUGGGGUGUCUGAACUGGCCCCUGAAUAUUGGCACUGGAAUCGGUAGUUGCUUCCAAUAUUCGAGGUAACUGAACAUUAAUAAAAGUCCCCUUUCUUUAUAUUUUCACGGUAUACUCAUGUUACAACACGACAUCCACCCCCUCUGAACCUGUGCAUCCUCCGGUAUGCACCAAUUAACUUGCGAACCUCUAUUAAAGAAUCACAAUCCUCUUUCAUCCUUCCAAUUGCAUCAACUUUAGUCGGAUUUGAUUUUCUUCUGUAAGGUCCACAUAAAUGAUCAAGAAUCACAACCUCUUGUACUCGAAAUAUGGACUUCAUACUCGAUAAUGUAAGAUGAAUUUCUCCAAGCCGAGUUAAAAUCUUUUCACAAUCUUGUAUAUGAUCAACAACAUAUUUGCAACAUCCCGUCUUAUCUAAAGUUUCAUCCUUGUCUCCUUCUUUGCACCUUUUUAUAGGAACAUCAUCCAAAAAAGGCAUAGUCUUCUCCGGAAUAAAAUCUCUCAAUACCUUAUUCAUCUCAUUCAUCAUAUGCGCUACUGAGUUAGUGGCGCCUUGAGGAAGAGUGCACAUUCUAACCAAUCCAAGUGGUGUCGUCAUCGCCAUCAUAUCACUACUUUCUUCGGCAAGUUAAAAUUGAUCAUAACCUGAAUACAAGUCACCCAUUUAAUAGAUCGAUUGGAAUAGAAGAGCAUAUUGCAAAUUCAUCCACAAUAGGUCCAGAUGAAGAACAUUCUACAUCAACAUAUUGAAGAAUCGUUGGUACAUGCCGGAGGAUGCACAGAUUCAGGGGGGGUAGAUGUCAUGAUAUAACAUGAUUAAUAGGUGAAAGAGUGUGGAGAUUAUUAUAAUUUAAGAGAUCUUAGUUCAAAGUAUUAGAACAAAUUAUCUUAGAAAUAUAGUUAAUAGCCAAAGGGGUAGAAAAAUUAAAAGGUAUCAAUGCUGCCUUUUAGAAAGGUGACUUCUACUUACUUUGUAGUACCAUAAGUAAGGCAAAUCAAAGUAGAUUGGAAAAAUAAAUGAUAUAGGAAUCUUUAGAAGAAAGUUAAGAAUAAAUUCUAGGAAAAAAUUACUUAGAAAAACUAGAUAUUGAUACCCGGAGAGGGCCGGUUAUGAACCAAGGUCGAAAUCAGACCCUGAGGCACAAAACCGAGUCUCGACGACGACUCGGGGACUCUUUGGCAGAUCGGAGAGUGGAGUUUGAGAGAAGAUUGAAUAGGGUUUCUAUAGGCAUUGAUUUUGGGUGAUUUGGAGUUGUUAUGAAUUUGUAAGAGCUUUGCAAAGUUGAGUUUUUUUCAGAUGACUUGGGUUUUAUGAAAUAAAAUAGGGUUUAUGUUUUGAGUGAUUUCGAGAGUUUUGUUGUAGAUCUACAAGUGAAUUUUUUUUGGUUCAUGGUUAUAGUUGUUUUAAAUACAUGUUGUGAAUUUGAGCUUGAUCUAACGGUUGAACUGAGAGAUAUUGAGGUUUAAGUGAGUCAAGGUCUCAAAAAGUAAAAUUUUACGUCUAGUAAGGGUUUUUGAGAUUUCAUGCAAUCCACUAGUUGGAUUGGAGUAAAACUUGUGUGAGAGGAUAUUAGACUUGUUUUCCUAUGUCCAUGAGAAAUUUGAAACCAAUUAAACGGCGCAAAGAAGAGAAAUUGACUCUGGAAUGUUGGCAACAAGAUUGGAGAAGGAAGCUAGCUAACACCCGAACACAUUUUUGAGGUUUUAGUCAAUUUGGUAACUCCGAUCCUUUUCAAAAUGUUUUUGCUUGUUUUGAACUUGAUUUUUAAGAAGUGUGAAAAUUUUGAAUUGAGAUCGACGGUUUAUUCAUUAGAUAUUGAGGUUUAAAUUUGUCAUAGGAAUUACUAGGAUUUGGAUUAGGAUUUGGCUAGGGUUCGGUUUAGGGUUCGAUUUAGGGUUUGGAUUAGGGUUUGAAUUAGGAUUUAGGAUUUUGUGAGGGUUUGAUUUAGGGUUUGGAUUAGGAUUUGAUUUAGGAUUUGGAUUAGGGUUUGAUUUAGGAUUUGGAUUAGAGUUUGGACUAGGGUUUGAUUAGGGUUUGAUUUAAGGUUUGGUUUAGGGUUUAGGAUUUGGAUUAGAGUUUAAGGUUGGAUUAGGUUUACAGUUUGGAUUAGAGUUUGGACUAGGAUUUGGUUAAAAUUUGAUUUACGGUUUGGUUUAGAAUUUAGGAUUUAGAUUAGAAUUUAGGAUUGGAUUAGGAUUUAGGAUUUGGAUUAGAGUGUGGAUUAGGAUUUAGGGUUUGGUUAGGAUAUGAUUUAGAGUUUGGAUUAGGGUCUGAUUUAGGGUUUGGAUUAGGGUUUGAUUUAGGGUUUGAAUUAGGGUUUAGGGUUUAUUUAGGAUUUGAUUAAAGGUUUGGUUUAGGAUUUAGGAUUUGAAAUAGGGUUUAAUUUAAGAUUUAUUUAGGAUUUGACUUAGGGUUUAGGAAUUAUUAGGGUUUAAAAUUCAAUUAGGUUUGGUCUAAAGUUGAGUGAAAUUCAAUAGGGUUUUAACUAGAAUUAAAUUAAGGUUGAAUUGACAUAUAUUUGAGUAAAAUUUGUGAUCAUUCUAAUAUUUCUUUAAGAAUUUUAUUGUUUGUUUGAAAUUUCUUUGAAUUGUUUUGAAUUUGAUUAUGUUUGUUUACCAUUAUUAUAGUCUAAUUAGAGCAUUGUUAGUAUUUUAUU